rnacentral:lncRNA from 1 species
UGAAUAUCCAUCAUGGGGAAGGGAUGGUAGUGACCCUUUUUAGUUAGGUCUGGUUUGACAAAACCCACAUUCAGGCCCCUGAAUCUGAUAUGCACACUGGGCCUGGGCCUAAACUCCAGGCCAGCUGGUUGGUCCAAGCUUGGCCAACCUAGGGCCAAGGGUCAAUGGCCUGGCCCAAGUUUAUUUUUUUCUUUGUUCUCCCUUUAUUCUUUUUAUCUUUUUGCUCUGAAGGCACUUUUAACAUACAUUUUAAAUGUUUAAAGAGCGGAGUGGAUGGGAUUCAAACCUUUAGAAUGGUGACUAACAUAUAUUAUAACCCCAAUCCACUAGUCGUAUAUUAUUUUACCUGCAAAAUGUAUACUAGAUAUACUAUUCAAAUGCUUUCUAUAUAUAAAUACAUAUUAUUUUUGUGGUAGUUUUUUUAUAAUAUAUAUGUAUGUAUGUAUGUAUGUGUGUGUGUGUGUAUAUAUUACAAAAACUAUCACAAAAAUAAUAAACACAAAACUCGAUUUCUCUUCCUUCGUCUAUACUAACAACUACUCUCUCUCUCUCUCUCUCUCUCUCUCUCUCUCUCUCUCUCUCACACACACACACACAAAAAAAAAACAAUGUCUCUCUUCCAAUCGUAAACUAGCUCUCUUUCUAACCCACAAACCAAGCUCUCUCUCUCUCUCACCCUAAACCACAAACCUAGCUCUCCUUUUUUUACACGAAGCCAACCCUACACUCUCUCCCUCCCCCACCGCCCCCGAGCCACCCCCAAAAAACACACACACACACAAAUAGGGUAGGUAUGGACAGGCCUGGCCGUCUGAUGGCCACAUAUUUGUGUGUGGGUAGAAAGAGAGAGUAGGGCUUUGGAUGGAGAGAAAUAAGAUAACAUCUCCCUGUACCUAAGCGCAAAAACCAUGGCCUCUCUCUCCAUGAUUCAUCGGCAUAGAUUCUACUAAUCCAAUGAGAGGGGGUUGUGAGAGAUAAUGAGAUAUUAAGACUUUAGUGGGAGAAAUAGUAAGAGAAAAACGAGUAGAUCUGGCUUUGUGAAGAGAGCUAGAUUAAUAGGCGGCAAGAGAUAGGGAGCAUUGAGAGAGAGAGAGAGAGAGAGAGAGUUUGGCUUUGUGUAGAAAUGAGAGAGAGAGAGUUUGGCUUUGUGUAGAAAUGAGAGAGUUUGGCUUUGUGCAGAAAAAAGAGAGAGAGAGAGACUAACAGAAUUGACUGGUGGGGGGGGGGAGAGAGGGAUAGACAGUAGCAACCUUGGCUUUGAGCAAUGUGAGAGAGAGAGAGAGAGAUGAGGUUUCUGGGUCAGCAGAGAGGACGAGCGAAGAGCAAGACUUUUAGGUUUGAGAGAGAAAACUUUUAGGUUUGAGAGAGAAAGAAAGAGAGCUAGGCUUGUGGCACAGGGGAGAGAGAGAGAGGGAAAUGGGGUUUAAUGUGUAAAAGAGAACGAGUGAGAGAGAGACAGAGAUUGUAAUACAUACAUAUAUGUAACAACAAAGUGUUUUAAAAACUAAGACCAGAGUAAAGAACAGGUCACCCAUUAGGGCCAGUUCUCGAAGGCAAAUUUGCAUUGAAAGGGGGGUGAGAACGUGAGGAGUCCAGGAAGUCUUUAGAACUGGAGCGGUAUCCCACCGGUUUCAAGCCGGCUAACAGCUUUAAAACACUGAUUACAUCUAUUGAUGUAAAUAAUAUACAACUAAUGGACUUUAAUGUUUAGUGGGUAUGUAUGCUAAUCAUCAUUAUCAGGUUCAAAUCCCACCUCAUCCAUUCUUUAAAGUUUUUAUUCUAUUACAAAAUCUGUACCUAGGGCAAGUCUCUACGGUCCCUAGCCAAUUGUAGCCAAUUUAAGCCCAGCCCAUUGCCAAGCUUAUUUUAUAGUAAUGUAACCAUAAAAUAUUGCUGUAUGAUGAAAUUUCCCCAGAUAUGAUUCCAACUUCCAACUUAAAGAUGCAUGAAUUAUAUAGAAUGAGAAUCCACAUAAGAGAGACAACAAUAGGCGCCCACACCUGCUUAGGCACCCGCCUUUACACGAAUCCUAUUCCGCUAUUCUACCUUAUCAAGGACUAUACCCUCAAUUAGACCAUAGGUCACCAUCUCCUUUCACUACUUCCAUCCAUAGUUGUUUGAGGUGAGAGAGGGUUCAAGAGCGGGAGCAGUUGGGGAAACACCGAACUGCCAUAAGGAGGAAGCUCCUAGAGUUAGGAUCAACAUCCAUACAUCAAUAAAUUAAGGAGUCUAAUCCUAGGAUACCUGGGAACUAGAUGCCAUGUCAAUGGAAUUGAGGUUUCGACUUGGAGGGAUCUAAGCUUCACCGCACAUAAAACGAGAUCAAUUAUUAGUAUAUGACAAAAUUAGGAUCGAGCCAAUGCCUGCUUGAUCCAUUGUCAUACAUCUUCCCUUAUUACCAAUGCUAUAGUUAUAAUACUCCAAUUUACUACAAUAACACAAUUUAAUAAUAUCAUCAAUUGGCUAACUAUGGUCUAAUAAGGGUGAGGACCUUAAACUUUCCCUUAAUUUGUCCCUAGCCCGGGUAAAGGAGGUGGGUUGUGUUAGGUAUGCAGCCAGUGUAAAACUUUGCCACAUCUCAUAACAAGAUUCAUAUAUCCGACCCCAAAUAAUUCGGAUAAGGCUUGGAUGAUGAUGGUAAUGAAAUUGGCUUACUAUGAUACUAAACUAUAGGCUUUUAAUACCAUAUUUCUAGUAUACAGUUUAACAUAUUCUAAAGAAAUAAAUCUAUAAUACCAAGUACAGACGCAGCAAUCCAAUGAAUAGUAUAGCUCCUCUGCUUGGAGGGAACCUACAAGCAUGCAAACCAAGAUCACAGUUUAUAGGGAGAUAGAUUCCUAUUUCUAUAAACCCAGCCCCCUCUAAGAUUCCUUGAGGAAAUGAGAGAUCGAGUUCCUAAGGUGAGAUGUGGCCUUAUCCCCAAGGUUCCCAUAAUUACAUUUCCAUACAUGUCCUUUUGACCUUCCCUCCCUUAAUUUUCUAUAUUUCCAUAAAAUUAAAGAACAAUAUGAUUUUAUUUCUAAUUUUUUACUCUAUUUUAGAAAAAAUAUUGAAUGUAAAAAUUUUGGAGAUUAAUUUGUUAUUUGAUUGGUUGUGCAUGUGCAUUGCCAGGCUCUCGAACAGUAAUAAUAGAAAAGAAUUAGAGAACAAACAUUUAGAAUUUCAACAGAAACAAGAAGCUGCUCUCAAUGCAUCCAAGAAGAUGAGCUGGUUCAAUUAUUCUUCAAGAAAACCACACAAAUUUCUCAGGCAACUUUUCUGGUCUGGUCCGACAGUCAGCCAAACCCAUAAGCAUGGCAAUAUUACUUGAAAUUGAAAGUAAAAUUGCUCCAUGGUUAUUUGGAAUGCAUUUUUCAAUAACUAUGGAUUUCUAUUUCUGGUUUUUAAAAGUCAUGCAACUAAGACUAACAAUAAGGAUAUUUGCCUCGUACAAGUCUUUAAUAGCUCAAAUCCACCAAUCACACUACAGUAAGAAAAGAAGAAUAAAGAAUAAAUCAGAUUCAAUUUGAUCUUAUGAACUUGAGUGAUUUAUGAAGAUUAUAAAGUAGAAAUGCCAGAACAUUUAAAUGAUGAAACAGGAGAUACACCAAUACCUGCAUAUCCCACAUCAUUUUCAGAUAAAGGCGGCAUCAAAUUAAGCCGAUAGUUCACAAAUAGCAAGUCCUCUCAAAGCAACAUAAAAAAGAUCAUAGUUAUGUCAAGUUUAAUCACUGUUACAUGUGCACGUGUCGAGAGAGAGAGAGAGAGAGAGAGAGAGAGAGAGAGAGAGUAGUAAAGUAUAAUCAUAACAAUUAAUAGGGAAAGGAAAUGAUAGUUAAAUAAAAGACACUCACUUCUUUAGAGGAGACUAAUCAAUUGAGGAAAGUUGACAAUCAUAACAAAAACAGGGAAAGGAAAUGUAAAUAGUUAAAUAACAGGCGGUUACUUCUUUAAUAGGUAAUGGGGAUUUGAGCAUACAACUCAAAAUUGCAACUACAAGUGCCCUUCCAAUUGGGCUAUGGCUCAAACCUAGACUCGAAUAGAAACAUCUUCAUUAUCACCAUCAUCAUCAUUAUCUGAGCCUUAUCCCAACUAUUUGGGAUCAGCUAAUGAAUCUUGUUCCGUCAUUCCACUUUAUCAAAGCCCAUGCCCUUAGUCAAACCAUAACUGACUAUAUCUCUUCUCACAACUUUUAUCCAUAUCUUUUUGGGCCUUCCCUUUGCCUUUUUAGAACCCCUUCCACUUGAACCAAAUCAUCCCUCCUAACCAGUAUUGUUCUAGGUCGUUGUUGCACAUGGCCAGAUCACCUAAGUCUACUUUCCCUCAUCUUAUUGCCUAUUGGAGCUGCCCCUAAGUUUCCUCAUAUGUACCCAUUCCGAUUUCUAUCACUUUCUUGUUUUGCCACUCAUCCAUCUCAACAUCCUCAUCUCAACCCCGCCAUGGCCGGUCUCAAGCCCGGAUGAGAAAGGAGGAGGGUUGUAAUAGGUUGGCAGCCAGCAUAAACAUCACUACCAUGAAUGGAAACAUCUUCUCAAACCCAAAUACAAAGGAUGCCACUAGUGAGAAAAAAACAUAAGAGAUUCACUUGGUCAAGUUCAAGGUUAUAAAAUGAGUUAAGCUUUAACAACACAAAUUAAAAACAUAACCAGGGGUGGCAAUAGGUUGGGUUGGCUCCAGGUCGACCCCAAACCAAACCCGACCCGACCCAACUAGGUAUAACAUGGACCCGGACCCAGGUCAAGUCCAAGACAUUUUGACCCGGCCUAACCCACCAGUGGGUUGUCCAAUCCAGAUAUAAAAAAUAUAUUUUAUAUAAUAUAUAUUUCAUAUAUUUUAUACUCAACUAGGACCCGGUCCCAACCCGAUGGAGUCCAAGCCGGACCAGGAUCCGGCCCGACCUUGGUCGGGUCGGGCCACUUGGACCUGGACCCAACCUGUUGGGGCCAACGCUAGACCCACUAGGUCAACCAGAACCAAUUGCCACCCUUAAACAUAAUCAAAGAUGCAUCAGCAAGUCUAAGAACACCAGAGAAUUCUAAAGAGGAUAUUGUGAAGAGUCUCACAAUGACAGAAAAAACUACACCCAAUAAAACUCACCAAAUAUAGUAAUAUAUCACAAUUAGGAUCCCUAUAAAGAUGGCCUUUUCAAGUUGUUACUUAUUCCUUUCCCAUAAGAACUCUAUCCACCAUCACCAAUAAGAUGGUUUCAUGUGCCAAUCAAUUCUCAUAAGAGUAACAUACACAUAGGCUUGGUAAAUCAUCUUAUUCUCAUGGACUGGAGAAACACAUGUGACCCUAGAAACUAGAUAUGGACCCCUCAUUUUUUAGAAAUCCACCCAACUCUGCCAUGUAAAUCACGGUGGCCAUAAAAACAGAAUAGGUUAACGGUUUGGCCAUAAGAACAGAAUAGGUUAACGGUUUGGCCAGACAAUGCCGAGCAGAUUAUUGGAAAGGUGAUGGCUGAAUUGCCACCUAUCGAAUAAUUCACACAAAAGAAUAAUUCCAUAACCAUUGGCUCCAGUCCCGCUGAAAACAUGUGAUCCUAGAAAGCCAAGAAGUAAAAAUAAAAAAAAUGUAGCGUGGUCAAGAACCUUUGCGUGUUAUUUUCUUUUUGGAUUUUGAUAAGGUGCUUCAUCUCUUGUUUUCUUUUUGGCAAAUUACUGGAUAGAGUAAGACCUAACAACAAACAAAUCCUAAGCAUUACAAUACUCGACAAAAGGACAUAAGAGAUGCAAUUUUAAACAGUUGUUUUAAAAGCGUUUGCCAUCUUGUAGAUGGCCCCACAAGGAGGACAUCUGUCUACACUAUACAAACAUAAGAAACGAUAAUUGAGUUCAAGAAAUGGAACCAUUUAAGCAGAGGACAAAGUAAUCAAGUUAAAAUGGGAAGUUGCAUAGAGAAAGAGACAAUGGCCCUUCACAUACAUGAAACUCAAGGGCACGGGCACAUUAGCUGUCAGAUUCACAACACAAACAACAAUAGUCUUUUAUUUUGGGAAGUUUAUAGAAAAUUCUGUUUUCUUUCAUUACUUAAAAAUACUCCCCUUUAUUUCAUAUUUUACACUCGAGUCCCACUUUUCUAGAGCAUAUGGUGUAUUUGAAUUUUAUCUCUUUCUCUAUCUGUUGGAUUAAGCUCAAAUUUGGUAUAUACAUACCUCUCACCAUCACACAUAUGUAAAAAAUUCCAAACAAAAUGUUGAAAGAAAUAUAACUACCAAAAUACCCCUGAAUAUUGCAGGGGUAUUUUGAUCAUUAUUAUUCUUGAAUUAUUCCUGUUACAUUUUUUUGAGUUAUUUUAGCCAUUGGAACACAUAUGUCACCAUGCCUUUUUUUUGGGCAAAAAGGUCAUAUUCCAUAGAAACAAGGAAGUCCACAUUUUUUGUUGGUUACUCAUUGAGAAAAGGCAUCUCUCAAUUUUAAAUUUUUAAUAAACUAAGCAUAACAACAGUAUACGAUACAAAAAGCCUAUAGAUAGUAAAUUAAUUUAAAAAAAGAUUAUGUAAGCCAGUCGGUUUGUACCAUAAGCCACUUUGAAAAGUGGAGGUCAUAUUGACAAAAAAUUUGCACACAUUUAGAUCUCAUCUAGUUCAUCAAAAAAAAGUUCAAUUCGCACAGGAAAAUGAGGGAAAAGGAGUGGACCAUCUCCAUUGAACAUAGGCUGUUGAUUUGGUCGACAGCAGAUCUAGGCCUUCAAGAACUAAAAACCAAUUUUUUCAAAUCAAAGAUAUGCAAAAUUUCUACUAAAAAGAACCCUCUAGCUAUUUGUCCCUUAAAUCAUUUCUAAGCAACUUUUUUUCCUAGGGCAAGUUUUCUCCCACAUUGCUUUAGUCAAGCUCCUCAAGGUCAAUAUAUCAUUCAUAGAUGAUUUACGCCAAAAUAUUAACUGAUUUUACUUGACAAUUGAUCGGAUCCUCAACAAGUACUAACCUGAGUUUGGAAACUUUGAAUAUCUUGCAGCAAUAUCUGUCAAUUAAUUUUUAAUGUAAUUUUCCUAAGAUAAAGAAAUUUCUGUAUCACAAGUAACUAAUGUGCUCAUGAACCCAUGGCAAGUUCAGCAAGAAAAAAAUCAACAUUUCAUCAAGUAAUGACUUGUGAACUGUUCAAUGGAAAUCCCACCAGAAUGGAGAUUAUUAUAAACUUGGGGGGAAAAGAAAGAACAAAUACAAAAAGCAAAGGACAUUCCAUUUACACAAGAAGUGGUAUCUGGAUUCAUAGAUCAUUGUAACAUGGAGGUAUACCUGAGAAAUGCCAAAAGAUGGUGAUGUCAAUAAAUUAUGACAAGGUCGGGCCUAAGAGAUUGAGUAGAGCAAUCAAUAUUCAUAAUUGAAUCCUAUAUACGACAAAGGAUGAGAAAUGCAUCACAUGAAAGCAUUCCCAAUUUGCCAAACUUGAGGCUCAGCUCUUACUUUCAAUCAUAUUCAACUUCAAAUUCUAAUUCAUGGACAACAAACAUUAAAGAAUAAGGCUCAAGUUAUGUAAGAGAACUCAUGCACCUAAAAGCAGCAUAUAUCCCAUAGAGUAAAAAAUUGGUCAAUAUGAUAUGUUAGUUGCAAGUGAAUGUGUGCCCAAGACAAAAAAUUGUUAUGUUAGAAGGAAAGCAUCAAAAUUGUAGGCUCCUAGCUGAUUUAUGGCAGCCCAUACCUUUUCUAAAGAUGCUUACGCACAAUUUUUUUCAAAUUUCAGAGUUACCAGCAAUAUGCCAUGAAUUUUCAUUUUAUCACAUACUACAACCAUCAAAAACAAAAUAAUCUCACACAAUAUAUGAUUAAGAAAACAAGAUGCAUUAAACAACACCAAUAAACAGGAUGAAAGCAUCACAAACAAGCAUAGCAUCCAAGAAAAUAUGCACCAGAGCAAGAUAAAGCAACGCAUAGCAAAAGCAAUGACUUAAAACACCACAUGAUAAAGUACGGACAACAAAUGAAGUCUUACCUGCAUGUAAGGAUAAGUAUUCGCUGCCGCAUUAUCACCAAUCAACAUAGAAUCACACUGAGAGAAAUUCCUUGCAUUCUGAGCAUGCGGCCGAACCUCAACCAAACCCCUAUAACAAUUCCUUGACUUUCCUGCUGAUAUACCUUUUGAAACAAUCCUACUCCUUGUAUUUGUCCCAAGAUGAAUCAUUUUAGUUCCAGUAUCAGCCUGUUGACAAUUGUUUGUUAAAGCAACCGAGUAAAACUCACCAACCGAAUUCUUUCCCCUCAAAACAACACUUGGGUAUUUCCAAGUAAUUGCUGAUCCAGUCUCCACUUGAGUCCACGAAAUUUUUGAAUUAUCGCCAUCGCAUAAACCCCUCUUUGUAACAAAAUUAUAUAUCCCUCCCCUUCCUUCUUCAUCACCAGCAUACCAAUUUUGUACAGUUGAAUACUUAAUCUCAGCACCCUCUGCACAAAAAAGCUCAACAACAGCUGCAUGUAACUGAUUUUUAUCAUAAGAAGGAGCAGUGCACCCCUCUAAGUACCCAACAAAGCUUCUCUCAUCAGCCACAAUUAGGGUUCUUUCAAAUUGUCCAGUUUCUAAUGCGUUAAUUCGAAAAUAGGUUGAUAUAUCCAUGGGUGAAACGGUAUCUUUUGGGAUGUAACAAAAAGACCCAUCACUAAAAACAGCUGAAUUUAGAGCUGAGUAAAAGUUAUCAGAAGGAGGGACAACUUUGCCUAAAUAUUUCCUAACUAAAUCUGGGUACUCUCUAAUGGCCUCUGAAAUUGAGCAAAAGAUGACCCCUGCUGCCUCUAAGGUCUUUCUAUGAGUGGUAGCGAUGGAUACACUGUCAAAAACUGCAUCAACUGCAACAUUUGCCAAUCGUUUUUGCUCAGUUAAAGGAAUCCCUAAUUUUUGAAAGGUUUCUAAAAGCUGGGGAUCAACCUCAUCUAAACUCUUCUUCUUUGCCUGCUGUUUUGGCUCUGAAUAGUAGCACAUAUCUUGGAAAUUUAUUGGAGGGUACUGGUUAUCUGACCAUUUGGGUUCAGUCAUCUUUAACCAUUGAUUAAAGGCAUUUAGUCUGAAUGCAAGCAUCCAAUCCGGCUCGUUCUUUCGGGCUGAGAUUAACCUUAUUGUCUCUUCAGAGAGGCCCUUUGGGAUCGAAAAAGAUUCGAUAUCAGAUCUAAAGCCCCAUUUGUAUUCCCUUUGUAAUAACUUCUGAAUUGCAUCUUUAGAACUAGGGUUACCUUUGGACGCAUCCCUCUCUAGAACAGUGGUUUCAGAGACCUCUGCAGCUUCAGCUCUCAGCUUGAGAAGGCGAGGGGCUUUCCACCGUCUGGUAGGGAACAACUUGCAGAGAUACGUCGUCCUUGAGAGAGAAUUGCUGGGAUGAAGCCAUAGACUGGUUCUUUCUGAGUGGUUUUGGAGAGAGAAAUUAGCUGAAUUGCCUGUCACAACAGAAGCCAUGGGUUUCAACCAUAAGCGAACUGCUUACAGAGAGAAAAAGAGAGAACGGAGCAAUUGCAGAGCUGUACCGCUCUUAUAUGGUAGAGAGAGAGAGAGAGAGAGAGAGAGAGAGAGUAGUAUGCNNNNNNNNNNNNNNNNNNNNNNNNNNNNNNNNNNNNNNNNNNNACGUACGUACGUACGUACGUACGUACGUACGUACGUACGUAGUAGUAGUAGUAGAGAGAGAGAGAGAGAGAGAGAGAGAGAGAGAGUAAUUGCAGAGGGUGCACCGCUCUGAUAUGGUGGAGAGAGAGAGUUGAGAUCCCUUCGCUGUUUAGAUGUGGAUUGAAGAGAGAAAUGGAGAAGGUUUCGUGCAUGAGAUGGGAAGCCGAGAGAAAGUUAAAAAAAAAAAAAUUGUUGUGGAUAUUCGGCCUUUCAUUUAAGCCGCUGAGAAAAUAAAUGAAAAUAUAUUUGGUGGGAAUUUGGUUCUCGAGAUUCCGGCAUUUGGAUUUUCCUCAACUUACUGGUAAUACUGUAGCCUACAGUAAUACUAAUACAUGUACGGACCCGGUUUCUAUAAGGCGAAGCCUUUAUAUGUAGAAAAUAAAUCUAUUUUGUAGAUAGAUUUUAAGACUUAAUUUGAUAUGUAAUAUCUAAUCAUAAAUAUGAAAAAAAUAAAUAAAUUUUUAAAACUAAAAAUCAUAAUUCUCGUAAGAAAAUAUUUGGACCAUUAGGCUCCAUUAUUUUUAGAUCGAACACCUGCUUGCAUACAUCUUUAAGAUAGGUACUUUACACUUUUUGGACCGCAUAUGUAGAAAUGUUGUCUAGCUUGCAUGAAACAAUUUGCCUACAUGUAAUGGCGAAUAAGUCGGUUAACAGUUAAAACUGAAAAUUUACAACUUGAAAAAGCCGGGAACUGUAUAUGUGGUGGUGCAUGAACCUGUUCACCAUCCCCUAAGGAUGAAUUUUAUGAGAAAUUUAUAUGAUGAGAUUAUUUAUUUUUAUCUAAGAAGGCAACCAUUGUCAACCGGUGGAUGUAAAAUUUGAUGGAUAGUAACGUGUCACUAAUUGAGCUCAAAGUCCAAAAACAAUUCUAUGAAAAGGGACCAAAGGAUUGAGAAAUCGAGAAUGGUCUUGGGUUGGGAAGGUAAAAAGUUCAAAACAAAUAAAGUAGGUCCGACAAGCCUUCAUCAAUUAUCUACGAAAAGAUGUUGGAUACUAACCUAAGAGCAAGGGUGAUCCGAAGGCAACUUAAAUUAAGGACUCCCUACCACCUAGGGAGCAGGCAAGAUUGUCACAUUACCAAAUGAAUGUGAAGGAGCCUUUACUUGAUCCUAGGGCAACAUGCCACAUGCAUAUACUACUAGCAAAAGGAAAAAGUUUAUAUAGAGCCAAGGCUCUAAACAAUCAAAUUUGAGCUUACCUAAAAAAUUUUACUAGAAGAGGUUGUUUUGAUGCCCAAAUAUCUUCAAAUUGAUCAUCUUGACAUCACGAUGUAUGGACAUGAGAAAAAAAUAAAUUCCAAGUUUUAGAAAUAGUGUAUUUUGUAACGCAUUUUUGGACUGUCAAUUUUCAAGAUUUUCAAGUUUUCAUAGAUCUUUCGAUCUACACUAUUUUUGAAGCUUUAAACUUUAUAAAUAAACAUAAAAAUAUAUUUUAAGGGUAUAACAAAUAUUUUCAGUAUUGAAACUACAUUUCUCAACACCAUUUGAAGGUAGGCUCUAAUUUGAUUGUUUAGAGCCUAGGUUCUAUACAAACCGCACCCUUAGCAAAAAAAAGUAAAAAAAUCGUUAGGCUCAACAUCCUAAAUGAACUCUGUGUAGCAGGGAAAACAAGAGAAAUAAAAAAUUAAAAAUUUCACCCAAUAAAUAUCCGAAAGGGACACUAGGCCAAAAAGAAAGAAAGAGAGAUAAAAAGAUAAUAAAAGAAAAAAAAAUAAAAUAAAAUAGGUGUCUCUCUCUGCACUUCUUGCUCUUUACAAUCUCUCUUUCAUCUAAGAUAUACUCUCACUCUCUUCUCCAAAUCGGCCUAGUGCAAAGCUAUCAAGAGGCAUUUAGCCCAAGGGGUCAUGAGACGGAUUUUCUGUAUGCAAAUACGAAAGACCUCAACCAUGUAGACUUCAAAGUUAAUAGCGGAUGAACAAAAUUGGAAGUCUAAAAAGAUCAUCCCAAAUACUAAGGCACUUUCUAAUAUUUUUCAAUGUAUGGUUUAUUUGAAACCCCGAGGAACAUUUCUUUUGGAUUUCAACAUGAUGAAUGGGAUCUUAAAAUAAGAAAUUACUUAAUGAUUCCCCGUCCCAAGAUCCCAGCUCUUGCUUGCUCAACUCAUGAAAAUCAAUUAAUAAAAUCAAAAGGGCAAGAUAAGGAGCAAAUUGUUUUUCCUAAAUUUAACUUUAGAAUUAGGCCUUGGAUAGAUAAAAAAGGUUCCCAAAUAUAUAAAAAGAAAAGUAAAAUAAAAAUAAUUUUUUUAAAAAAAUAUCCACCAAAUUUAGCAUAAGUGGUUUUACAAAACAUUACCAAACCCUUCUAAAAAAUACAUCAAAACACUCAUUUUUCACAAAUUUUAAAAAAUAAAGUUUUCAUAAUUUUCAAUGUCAAUUUUAAGUUCCAAACCAUUUCGGAAUCCUCCGAAUGCUUGAACAAAAGUCAAUCAAAAAUGAAUCGUGGAGAGAGAGGUAUAGGAAAACCAAAGAAAAAUAUUUCCUAGAUCAUCCCAGAUAAAUCCCCCCCUUAGCUUAUAACUAUAGAAAGCUAUAAAAACCAUGGGUAUAAUGGAAAGUUAAUUAGCCUUUUUUUUUUUUCCAUACCAUCUAAAACUAUUUUUUAAACUUUUUAAUUCAAGUAAAAGACGUGGGCUAAAGUGAAUCGGCAAUGGCUAACCAUCACCUCUAAACAUGGGCAAUUUAAGGGUCAGGUGAAUCAGCAAUGGUUUACCAUCACCUCAAAGUGUUGGCAGUUAAAAGCCUCAAUAACUAAACUCCUAAUUUAGGGGAUUUUUUCUUGUCUAUAGGCCACUUCUGGAUUAUUCCAUUGACCUUUUGGCACACGAAACCCUAAUCCCAGACCCUAUGUCACAGUCCAGUAAAACAUUAGAAAAACUAAACUCAUCCAAAGCUAGAAGAAAACAUCCUUCUAGCCUUAGAGCCCUAUCCUAAUAUUCCUAGGCAUCACUCUUCUUAAAGUCCAAGAAGACUUCCAGAUCAACAAUUCACCCUUCCUGUCUAAUCCAAACCCCAACUCUGGGUGUCGGGCCCAAGGGCCUUGCUUCCUAUGUAUUGUUCUUUCCCAUUGUUUAUCUUCUACAUUUUUUUUUUUUAUCAUUUGCUUCGGGGUAAUAAUAAUUUUGUGUGUGAAUGCUUAGGCUUUGAGCACAUCACCCCAAUUAAUUUUGGUUUUUUUUUUUUUUUUAUUAUUCAUUAUUUGCCCAAAUACCCUUCAAAACAACAUAAUCAUAGCUAGAAGUUAACGUUUGGAUCUUCGAUGCGUCAUGAAGAACAUUGUGUAUCAUUUAGGUGCUGCAAAUACAAAACAAUUGAGGAAUUUUCUUUGUAAUAAAAAAAAAGGGAAUUGGUUGAAGAACAUUGUGUAUCAUUUAGGUGCUGCAAAUACAAAACAAUUGAGGAAUUUUCUUUGUAAUAAAAAAAAAGGGAAUUGGUUUUUGGAGGUGGGCAUUCCUCUUAUUUUGAAAGAUAAUUCUUUGGGAAAUACAUCAUGCAUCUUGAUUUGAAAGGAGAAAAUGCACACAUAAAGUUUAUCUUUUAUUAGUUUCACCAUUCAACGCUCCUAUUAAAAAAUGCAAGUUAUAUUGUUUGGGCUUUUUAGGUGGGAUAAAUUUAAGGCUUUGAAUCCUUGAUCUCCCUCACCCAAAGUACUUUGCCUUUCACUACAUAAGUCUAGUUUAGCCGGUUUAACGUUUUUGAGACAAACUUCAAUGGUGAAUGAUACCAUUAUAUCUAACAAUUAGUGGAUGACAUUUUCCAUUUGUUCUUAAUAAAAUUUUGUACUCUUGUCAAAAAAAAAAAAAAAAAAAGAAGCUUAAGCGGACUUAUUCAAUGCUCAUAUUCUUCGUUAAAUUAAGUAGCGGAAGGGCGUCAUUGAAAAAUGAAUUUAACUCGCGCCUUUAUUCUAAUGUGGAAUGAAGGCAAAAUAAACUUUAUAAAUGAUUCUGUCAAUGGAUUUAUUGUUAUUAUUAUUGGGCAGUUCAACUAUAGGAAUCGAACUUGAGAUGCAAUACUAUUGAUCGUCAGUUGCUAACCGUUCGAGCCCAAACUCGAUUUCUAAAAGGAUUAACCAACUUCAUUUGAUUUUAUUGGGACAAACUUCAAGGAUUUGAAUCCCUGACCCAAACUUAUAUGUCUACCUCUAAGCCAAAGCAUUAAGGAUGGCAAAUAAAUGUUAUGAAUAACAAAUUAAAUAUCGUAUGUAAAGGCAUCAUAAAAUGAAAUUUGACAUCCAAAACAUCCUCAAUAUGAAAAGUAUAUAAUAUUUUUUGGACAAUGAGAUGGUUUUGACUUGCAAAAAUACUCUCAAUUGCCAAUCUUAACACGUUUAGUGGAAGUAUGGAUAUCUUAACUAUAAUAAUUAAUAGCCAUUAUCUGGAAAUAGCUAUCGCGUGUUUUUUCUCAUACAAAACCUCACAAUAAAGGGAGUAAGAAGCAUUAGCUAAUAUAAGUUAGGGUGCGGAUUGUAUAGGGCCGAGGCUCCAAACAAUCAAAGCAAAGGGCACCUUCAAAUAGUAUCGAGAAAUGUAGUUUUCAUACUGAAAUCUUUGUGAUAGCUUUAAAAUUUAUUUUUAUCUCUAAUUAUAAAAUUUAAAGCUUAAAAAAUAGUGUAGAUUGAGCGAAUCUAUGAAAACUUGAAAUUGAUGGUCCAAAAAUAUAUUACAAAAUACAUUAUUUUCAAAACUUGAAAUCCAUUUUUUUUCUCAUGCCCAUGCAUUAUGAGGUCGAGAUGGUCAAUUUGAGGAUUUUUUUCUAGUGAAAUUUUUGAGGUGCACCUUAAUUUGAUUUUUUAGAGCCUCGCACUUAAAUAAACUUUUUCCAUUAAGUAAGGAAUAAGGUUAAGACACAUGAUAUUGAAAUAAAUGAGGACGUUAUAGUGAUAGAGAAGAUAUGGUAAGGUUUCUUAAAGUUAGUGUAUGAUAUGGGAUAUAUUAAUAAUAACCUUCUAGUGCAUCUGGUCGAGUCUGGACACACCCAUCUUCAGGUCCCAAAGCUUUAGCUUCAUUGAUCUCGCAAAGAUGAAGCAUAUCGGAGUAAGACCAUAUCGUACAGCCAAAAUGGUCUCGAAGGAGGCCACCAUAACCAGAUCACCGCCCCCUAAUACUACCAUCAAAGUUAAGUUUGAACCAGCCCCCAGGAGUCUUCGUCCAAACCCAACAAAACAUAAAGUGACUCUUCUUUAGAAAUAAAAAUGUUUGAAAUGUGAAAAGAAUAGUAGGCUAGGUACCGCAGUCAGCAUGAAAUAUGCAUAGGCCCAAGUCACAUGGUUCUCUGAAUAAUAGUAGGCAGAGUGGGGAAGUCUCUAGCUCGACCUUCAAAGGUUCUUAGAUUUCUCUCUUUCCAAAGAUUAUAGAGAGAGAUCGCAAUAGUAAUUCUCUAGAGAUUGAUACUCAAGGACGCAAAAGGAUGGCUCCACAUCUGUUGUAAUAAAAUAUGGAUAUCAUGUGGCCAAGGUCCAUGCCAGUUGGACAGACCAGCAAGCCAAUCCCCAAGUCUGCCGCAAAUGUGCACUUGAGGAAGAUACGAUCCACCGUCUCUUCAUCCUCUUUGCAGAAAAGGCAAACAUUAGUGUUAAUCAUGCCCCUCCUCUGGAGCUGGUCCAUUGUAAAUAGUCUCCUAUAAGCGAGAAGUCAAAGGAAAGACUUAACUCGAAGAGGCACUUUAUAAUUCUAUAAUUUGGGCAAAUGAUAUUUGUCCUCAAUGUACUUGUCCCUUCUCACCACAUCAUAUAACGAGCAAGUAGAGAAUAAACCAUUCAGUUCUAAACUCCAAAUGAGUCUUUCUGGUUUCCUCGGAUAGAAGCAACUACUAUACAAAGUCGUGAGCAAAGUAGCCUAUUGCUUAGCUACCGAGAAAUCUACCCUUCUCAUGGAAAGGAUGACAUUCAACAUUAGCUGACUAUCCACAAAGGAGAUCAUGUUGGUUACAAUCUCUUGUUUUCUGGUCGAUCUUCUAUAUACAUCUGGAUAAACUAGUUUCAAAAGGUACUCCUCAAGCCAUUUAGUAUGCCAAAACAUGGUCAUGCAUUCAUCACUGAUGAGCGCCCUAUUGUAGGUGAGAAAGAGAGGCCUCAUACCUUGGAUACCUUGCCAAACAACAGACAUGUUAAUAGAUCUCAGGCGUCGUCUCACGAAAGGAUUGUCAAGAUCUUGGCCAUAUUUACCAAGAACAACCUUAGUCCAGAGCUGAUCUCCAUGCAUAGAGAGUCUCCACCACCACUUUGUAAGUAAAGACUCAUUGAUUGCCCUGAGUGCGUAUACCUAGUGCCUCUUCACUCUUUUAUAGGCAUAUUGAAUCCCAUUUUACCAAUUGAAACUUCUUCUUAUUUUGGGAUCCACUCCAUAGGAAGUUAUCUAUUAAUGCUUCAAUUUUUGCAAUUACUGCAGCUGGUGCCUGAAAAAGAGAGAGAUAAUAUAUAAGAAGGUCAGACAAAUGACAUCAAUUAGAAAAGUUCUACCUCCAAAAAACAACAACCUUGCCUUCCAGCCAUCUAGUUUCAUUCGAGCCCUCUGAAUGAGAGGAUCCCAAAGUGACCUUGGAGUUCUACCAUUAAGAAAUGGCGGACCUAAGUACUUGGUGGGAAAGCAUUCAACCCCAUAAUCAAGCCAGCUGGCCCAGUUUGCAACCUCAGAGGAAGAACAACUAAUCUCAAUAAUGUUUGAUUUAUCCAUGUUGAUAUGAGCCCCUAAAAUGAACUCAUAAAGCUUAAGAAACAACCAAAUAUUCUGCACAUUUGUAUAUGUCCCUUCUAUAAGAAUCGGUGUGUCAUCUACAUACUGCAAAUGACUAAUCAUAAUGUCAUUGGGCCAAGCUCGAAGGCCCUUAAUCAUCUUCAUGUCUACCAACCCUUGUAGCAUUUUGCUAAAAGCCUCAACAACUAAGGUAAACAGCAAAGGAGAUAAGGGGUCACCUUGUUUAAGACCUCUGGUGGCUCUGAAGUAGCCAUUCGCUUUCCCAUUAAUCAACACAUAGAAAUGUGCAAAGGAAAGACAAUCCAUAAUCCACUUCCUCCAUCUCACACUAAAACACAUAAGAUCCAUAAUCUUAUUGAAGUAAUCCCACUCCACCUUAUCAUAGGCCUUUUCAAAAUCUAACUUAAGCAAUAGACCUUUAUAGCACAGCAAAUCAGCGGUAUGGAUAGUUUCUUACGCCAACAAAAUACCAUCCAUAAUAAACUGGUCUUUAAUGAAGGUUGUUUGAGGGCCUUCAAUCACCUCAUUAAUUACCAAGCGUAGGUGAUUAGCAAUCACCUUGGUCAAUGUUUGGUAUAGGCCUGAAAGCAAGCUAAUGAGCCAAAUAUCUCGGAGUGAAUUAAUGGAACUCUUUUUGGGAAUCAGAGAAAUAAAAGUAAAGUUAAUAACAUUGCACACAAUCCCGUCAAAAUAAAACUGAUUAGCCCAGCACAUAAUAUCGAACUUAAUCAAAUCCCAGAAUUCUUGGAAAAAAGCCAGAGGGAAGCCAUUCGGGUCAAGGGCCUUAUCACUAAGCAUACCAAAGACAACUUUUCUGACUUCUUCAAUAGUGAACUCACUUUCGCAGCUCAACACCAAUUCCUAAGACAGAGCCUUUAAAGGAACAUUCCGAAAGUCAAAUUGUAGUCUCUAUUUAGAGGAAAAGGCGUGUUUGAAGUGAUUCACAAUGACUUCAUUAACAGCUGUAGGAUUUUCUAUGUCAGAAUCCUAAAUAAGUAAAGCUAGUCAGACAGUUAGAUCUAAGCCUCGAAUUGGCAGUGGCAUGAAAAUAACUAAUGUGCCUAUUCAUCUCCUACAAAGUCAGAGAGAUUUUGGACCUAAAUAUUGGAGGUCGAUAAUCGCAACCACCAUGAUUAUGAAUCUAAAUAAAAAGUAUUGUUGCACAUCAUUUUUGACGUACUUGUAUCCUCGGGGCGAAUAAGGAGAAAGUUGGUAGUAACCUGGUUCUACCGGUGUGCCCAAGAUAUCGCUAGACCAAGGGAAUAUUGUAGCAAUAAGCCUAAAAUUAGGCGACCUUUGAAAAAGUGACAGAAUGGCCUCAAAUUGCAUGAAUGAGUAGUUUUGGAUAUCCUACGGACACUCGUAAAUUUUUGUCGCGUUCUGACAAGUUUUGAUAUGAUCAGGAUGAAAUUUGAUUUUCAAAUUAAGUUCUUGUCAUGCUGAAAAUAGACCAUAUAACCAUAUCCCUAUUGUCUGGGGUCUCAAAAUAGUACCAACCUCCAUUGGAUCUACAACAUUGAAAAACCACUAGGUACCAAAUUUUAGGACAAUCGGAUCUUCCGGGACCAACCAUAACAUGGUGAGUUUUAUACUAUUGCGAUGCAGCCGCGGUGAAUCAGAUUCCAUUUAUGGAAACUUUGUUUCUUAUUUCGACAUAAUUUUCAAAUGCUCAUAAAUCUCUCAUUUUAAGUCCAAUUACGCUCAAAUUCAGGCACGAGCUAGAUCUCGACGACCUGCUCAUUUUGACGUAUGUCACACGUUAUGGCAUCACCCAAAAAUAGAGAAUUUCUAGAGAUAAUAUGGGCUUGAAACAUGAAAAUUCAAAUUUUAUAAAUAAGAACAUCCAAUUCUUUGAGAGGCCAAAGCUCAAGAUCCCGCCGUCGGAUCAUCGCAAGUAUGGAUUCUUUGCGACUGUGCUUCGAAGAGCUACAUUUUGAUAUAAUUUUUAUAUAGGGUCGGAAGCUGGAUGACACGAAUUUUGAGGUUGAAAAUGAUAUUUUUUCGGUCCCCAGAGUCCCAUUUUCGGCAACUUCCUAAAAUUGGAACGUGCCCAAAUGGAUACCAAAAUAGAUGAAAUUUAUCACAAAGUGAUCGUGAUAGUAUCCCCUUCGAUUUGUGAUCAAAAUGAAGGUUUGGAACGUCAUUAGAUCGUGCCAGAUUGCUAGUCAAAGAAUCACAAAUUUAUGGAACUUGGCCAGAGUUUGGGUUCCUCCUUCAAAAUUCGUUUCAAGACAAUGAAUUCGUUUCAAGACAAUGAAAGGGUAUCAAAACGUGCGCAAUAGUUAAAGCAUCGAUUCCACGAAGGUUGAUCACCCAAAUCAGCACCAUAAACAUUCGAAAAAGCUCCUGAGACCCAGCAAUGGCAAGAGGUCACCAUGGUGUGAUGGUUUUGUCAUUUGUUGAAAAGUGUCUAGGGGCAUUUUGGUCAUUUGGUCAAAAAAAGGGAUUAAUAUUUUAAUUAAUAAAAUGUGCAUUUUUUUUAUAAGUUUAGUGGUUUUUUAGCAUUCCACCAUUGUUUUGUGGCUGCUCUAUAUAAGGAACCCAAGUCAUUUGUAAUUCUCUCUCUUAGAUUCUUAGUCAUUUGGUAAUAAAACUCUUGAACACUUGAGCAUUUGGGGCUUGUUCUUUUACUAUGCUUUUAAGUUCAAAACUCAAUAUAAGAGGUGGGAGACACAUUUCCUAGAGAGAGAAAAUACCCUUAAGAACCCUACACUCCUUAUAACUCCAAAGUUCUAGCUCCCUUAGGAUUCUCAAUUCUCAAUCCCAUACUCUCUAGAACUCCUAGCUUCCAUACACCUUAGGACCCCUAGCUUCCAACCCUAAUCCAUACACCUAAGCCUUGGACCCUAUCCUUAACCCAUUAAAACUAAGACUUUUCUCUCUCAUGUGUAUGCAAAGGGACCAAUGAAGGUGCACUUAGUUUCAAGCUCAUUCUAUAUCCACUCUCUCUCCUCUCUCUCCUUUCUCUCUCUCUAUCUUUCUCAUUCUCUCUCCUAUCUCUCUCUCUCUCUCUCUCACUCUCUCUCCUCUUACUUUCUCUUUUCUUAUUUCGCUCUCCUCCCUCUCUCCUUGCCUCUCUCUUUUCUCUUUCCCUUCCUUUAAUCGGACCCAGGGCGGGUCCGAGCCUUCUCCUCUCUCUCUCUCUCAUCCACAAACUUCCCUACCCGCACCUAGGGUGGGCUCGACACUCUCUCCCCUCCCUAUUUUCUUUUCUCUCCCUUACCCUCUCUCCCUCUUCUUUCCACUCUCUCCAUUCAUCGCUCUCUCCUUCUCUCUUCUCCAUCCGCCCUUCUCUCUUUUUUAUCCGUGUCUUAUCUCUCCACUCUCUCCAUCCGCCUCUUCUCUUUUCUUUAUCCACCCAUCAUCUUUUCAGUCUCUCCAUCCGCCCCUCUCUCCUUCUAUCUCUCCAUCUGCCCUCCUUCUCUAUUCUCCAUCUGCCCCUCUCUAUUUCUCUCUUCUCAAUCCCCCCCUUCUCUCCACUCUCCAUCCGCCCCUCAUCUCCCUCUACUACAUCCGCCCUAAUCUCCCUCUGCUCCAUAUGCCCCUCUCUCCUUCUCUCUUAUCCAUUCGUCCAUUUUCUCCUCUCUCUCUAUCCACCCUUCAUCUCCCUCUACUCCAUCCGCCCCUCUCUCUUCUCUCUAUCUACCUGCUCCUCUCAUCUCAUCACACCUAUCUGCCCCUCUCUCCUUUAACAUCCUAUCCGCCCCUCUCUCAUCUCACAUUUUAUCCACCCCUCUCAUCUCUCUUCCCCUAUCCACCCUACUUUCAUCUAACACCCUAUCCACCCUACUUUCAUCUAACGCCCUAUCCACCCUACUUCCAUCUCAUUCCUCCAUCGGCCCUAUUACUUUCUCAUCUCCCUUUAGAGUUUGGACCCGCACCAAAGGUGGGUCCAUCAUUCUUUGACCUCAUUUAUCCCAUUUUCUUUCACCUUAAAUACUCUCUUCUAUCUCUAAACUAUAUUUCAACUUUUCAUUUGUUUCACUUCGUUUUUACUUCAUCAUUCUUUUGUUUUUGUUUCUCUCUUUACUCAUCACUUUUUUCACCUCUUGAGCACUUGAUUCAAGGUCGUCUUGAGAUAGUAACCUAGGGUUCUAACUCUCAGAUUGCUACUCUAACCAUCAACUCGUAUAAUGCAGUCGGGUCAUAAGAGAUACUGAUUUUCUUACACUCGGUCAAUCGGGUUGAGGUCAUCCCGAGUUAGCUUUCUUUAGAGAUGUAACCAUUUCACUACUCUAACCACCAAGUCACAGAGUGUUUGGGUUGUGAGAGACUUUCAUCUCUCUCUUUCUCUUUUAUUUUUUUCUAACCCUUGAUCACUUUUGGGGGUCUCUUUGGUUUAAUGAUAUAAUUAUAGGCUCGGUCUUAUAACUCCACUUUCCAAACCCUCCGAGUACCAAGGCUUCGAGCUUGGUGCUUCUCUUUGUCUUCGGUAAUACCUCUUAGGAGAGGUUAUGUCAGGAGGCUGCCCAAUUUUCCUUGGAUCAUCCCUUCAUUUCUUUUUACUUUGUCUUCUUCAUCUUCUUCUCACUUCUAAACUAAGUUAUCGUCAAUUUCUUAUUCUCUUUCUCUUCUUUCUCCUUCCACUUGCUUUUUUCUCUUGUCUCUCUACCCCUAAAACUAGAACCACUAACACAUAAAAGCACAUUAAAUAGGAGUACAUUGUAUUUGGAUUUCAUUAGCAACUUUCAGUAAGAGUUGAGGUGAGCUGUUGAGUUUAGAAAGAUGGUCGAAUUCAAACCGCGUUGUUGGACAGCCGAAGGGUUUUCGUUCAUUGAUCUAAGAAGGCAAUAGCCUGGGCUUAUCCCACAAACUCAAACCGUGAUGAUGUAGGUGCUCAAGUCCAUUCUUUCAUCGCUUUAAAAUCCUCUCAUAGUUGGACAUACCUAUCCGCACAUGACACAUGAUUCACACAUGCGCUUGUGAGGUCAGGAGAUUGUUCGAGAGGGGGUCAAUCGAAUCUUGGUCCCCGAUGGAGCCCGAGCAAGGUAGAUCCUGGCCCGACCAAGUAUGUUUGAAACCUUAAAAAUAGACUAUUUUACAACUCUAUUCUUGAUCAUUCACAAUUAGUUAUUUAAAGGGUGUGGUUUGUAUAAGGAUGCAACCUUAAACAAUCCAAUUAAGAUGUACCUCCAAAGUUUAUCAUAAUAUAUAAUUUUGGUAUAUUUUUCUUUAGUAUUAUUUGAAAUCUAUUUUUACAUCUAAUUAUAAAAUUUUAAACUCCUAAAAUGGUUAAAAUCAAGUAGAUUUAUAAAUAUACGAAAAUCUUGAAAAUGGACGGUCUAGAUAAUGUGUUGCAAGAUGCACUAUUUAUGGGACUCAAAAUCUUUUUUUUUUUUCAUAUUUAUACAUCUCGAUGUUGAGAUGAUCAAUUAGAGGAUUUUUCAGCAUUAAAACAACUUUUUCUGAUGAAUUUUUGAGGUGCAUCUUUAAUUAUACAUUUCAAAGUUGCAACCUUAUAUAAACUUUUUCUUUAUUUAAACUAAUCCUAACUAGAUUUUGGGCUGAACUAAAGCAGAAAUACAUCUAGAGUGACCUAGGAUGUAUACAGGAUCCUAAAUCCAUCUCUAAGAUGGGUAUUUGGAAAGAGAAAUACAACUUUGUAUAAACAUUGUCUUCUUUAAGUUUUAGUGAUUGUAAGCAGAUCUAAUGAGAAAUCAAAAGUUUAUUUGGAGGUAUGGAGCACAUUUUGUAGUUCAAUUUAUUUUAAUCUUCAUUCUAGUUUUUCGUUCUAACACCCAAAGUGUGUCACUAUGUUUGCUCCCCAAUGGUACUUUGGGGGCAUUGUCACGAGGAUCCUUUUAUUUUUGGAAAUUUAAAAAUGGUCUUAAUAUUUUCAAUUUUACAUUGAAUUCCCAGUUUCACUAUUUUUUAAAAUUUUCAAAUUCAGCUCUAGUUUGACCCUCUUGGAAUUUUCAAAAGAAGCUCUUAGGCCCAGCUUAAGUUUGGAAAAGGGUAGACCUUGCUUAAUUUUGACCCUUUUGCUUUAUAUGUAUAUAAAUCUUGGAUAGCUCAGUGGCAGGAACCGAACUUGAGAUGUAGUGUUGUUUGACGCCAACUGUUAACCACUCAAGCCCAAUGCCCCUUCCUCCCUUUGCUUGAGUUCAAUCCUUCAGGGUUGAACUUAUAGAGAUUGUGCUAUUGUCAUUUAUCUAGUGGCAAGACAUGGCAUUUCCCCAAAGGAGAUCGAAGUUUGUUGAGGAAACGAAAGAAGCCCACCCACCCUUGUUUCGUUCGAUUUAAUGCAUAGGCUUUUUUAUUUGGUCUAGUGAUAGUAGGGGCUAGGGGUGGCAAUGGACCUGACUAGACCCAGGGACCCGAUAGGUAUACUCGACCUCGGGUCAGGAUAUGAGUCCCAAUUUUGGACUCAAAUAUUGUUCGGGUUUGAGUUCAGGUUAGCUAGACUCAACCUGUACCUGUAGUAAUAAAUAUAUGAUGGCAAUCAUGUGUCUUCUAGCACGCCUUAGGUGUUCAUAUUGUCACAGUAUUCGCAACAUUUACAGUAUUAUUGGCAAAAAAAAGAAGAAGCUCAUAGUCAUAGGGUAUACGUUGGUAAAAAAAAAGACAAAAAAAAAGGAAGCUCAUAAUCGCAGGGUGGCAAUGGAUCUGUAUAGACUCGAGACCCAAUGAUUCUGUAUACGUGUCCAAAAUUUGGACCCAAAUACUAUUCGGGUCCAGGUCCAGGUCCAGGUUCAGGUCCAACCGGACUUGACCUGUACCUGACCCGUUGCCACCCCUAAUAGGGACAUCGGUUUGCAAAUGGGGCAUCACUUACAAUUUACAAACCCUUUGAAAAUUUGGAUUUUGUUCUCAUGACAAGACCGCGCCAACCUUUUUUUCCACUUCAUGCAUUUGCCCAAAAAUAAUGAAUUUGGGGCUAGCUCAAGGAUCGAACUUGAAAAACGUUUGACCCUUUAAGAGUCGAACUUAAGUGAGUUUGUUCCUUGGUUGAACUCAAGCUAGCCAUAAGGAGUGUUCAACUCUUGAAGGGUCAAACUGGGUUUUGAAUUUUCCAGAAGAAGCAAGUUGGACCCUUGAAAGGUUUAUCUCAACAACAAAUAUAAAAUGGUUUAAGGUUGAACUAGGGAUAAUUUUGGCAAUGUUUGUAUAAGGUUGCAACAUUAAAUAAACAAAAUAAGGCGUAUCUCCAAAGUUUAUCAUAAACAUGUAAUUUUUAGUGUAAAACAUUCUUAGGAUGGCUUAAUAAUCUAUUUUCAUAUGUAAUAAAAAAUUUAAAAUCUAAAAAUAGAUAUAAUCAAGCAGAUCUAUAAAUACAUGAAAAUUUUGAAAAUGGACGGUCGAGAUAAUGUGUUGCAAGAUGCAUUAUUUUUGAGACCCGAAAUAUUUUUCUUUUUCAUAUCCAUACAUCUUGAUGUCGAAAUGAUUAAUUGGAAGAUUUUUCAACAUCAAAACAACUUUUUUCAAUGGGCACCACCAUGGCUAAUCAAGCUGAAAUGUGUUCCUUUCUACAAGGUUGGGAAAUCACUGAUGAUAGGGGCAUCUCAGGAUAUAUUAUUAUUGAAGGAGACUCUUUGAAUGUUGUUAAAUGGCUCAAGCAUGAGUAGAGGAUCCCUUGAACCUUACACAUUUGCUGGGUUAAAAUACAUAAUCUUUGCGCUUCACCAAGUUUGUGAGUUUCCUUCUGCAUACCUAUCAUGAGACUAAUGAUACAACAUAUGGUCCUGGUAAGCAUGGAGUUCAUAUUCCUACUUUGCUAUUUCUAGUGCUUUGAUACCUUCUUUGUAACUUCACGCUUUUUAAGUAUUUAUCUAAUAUAAGCUAUUAACAUUCAUAAACAAAAUUUAAUAAUGCAAUCUCAUAUAAUUUUUUUUAUUAAAAAAAAAAGAUUGUAUAUAAACUUAUAGUACAAGGAGGUUACAAUUACUUAUAACUAUACAAUGUGAAAUCUAAUAGCUUCAGUGUGUCACAAAGUUCAAGAAAAUUUAUUUUGAGCUUUGAGUUUGGUUAAUAAAAGAAAGGAAAAUAUCUCCAUACCCCUUAUUAUUAGGUUUCAUUUCACAAUAAACCCAAUAUUUUAAUAGAUAUAUUGGGGCAUAAAAAUUAUAGAUUUGAUUUCUUUUAACCCCUGUACUAAUUUAAACCUGGGUUUUUAGGCCAAACAAAUUUUUAAAGAUAUGCCUUUUCUAGAAGCCAUCGUCCCAAACUUCUGGAGAGAGGGAAGGGCUUCAUGGAGGUGAGAGGUUACCGAGAGGAGAGAAAGAGGCGUUUGGAGAAACACCGGAGGAGAGAGAGAGUGAGAGAAGUAGGAAGAGAGAAAAAGAUAGAAGUUUAGAAAGAGCACGUAUUGCUCACAUUUGUUUAGGUUAAAAAAUAGGUUUAAAGUGGUAAGGGGGUUAGAAGUUAUCUUUUGAAACAUUGGGUUUAUUAAGAAAUAAAACUUAAAAAUAUGGGAUAUAGAGAUAUUUUCCCAUAAAAGAAAUGUAGCGGCCCAAUUUCACAUGAAAUGGUGAUUAAUUGUAUCCACCUUAUACUAACGUAUAUGGUCUCAUUAUAUACAUUUUCUUAAAAAAAAAAAACUAACAAAGAGAGACUUCAUUCAUAGUAAAAUUAAAAAGAUUUGAUGUAUUUUUAAAUGCCAAGAAAAAGGGGAUCCAUAAGCAAGUGGUUUUCUUUUCACCGCUAUGUUUCUAGAAGUUUAAAACCAAAACAUUUGGCGGGAAUCCACUUUUCAAGUCGGAAAUUCCAAUUAGCCUCAUCACUUCCCUGCCACCGCCAAACAAUUCCUCUCUCUCUCUCCCCCAUAGUUAGCAAAUCGAUGACUAUCAAUAAUUGGCUCACCAUAAAAUCGGAAACAAAUAGUUUUUAUUUUAAAAAAUCAGAUAAAAAAUAUAGAUCGGCAAAAAUACUUCAUAUAAAAAUAUAGCUAAUAUAUCGGAUUAGGCUAAAAAAGUAGGAUAAAUUUAUAAUAUUAAAAAUUUUAAAAAAUAAAAAUUAUGUCAAAGCCAUCAAUUACUAAUUCAUCUAUAAAAACUUUACUCGACUAAUAUAAUUAAGUCAAUUAAUUUAGAUACAUUGUGACUCUCAUUCAAUCAUCCAAUAUUAAAUACAUAAUUAACUAGUAUAUACCAAAAAAAAUGUACCAUAUAAAUUUAGGGAAAGCUUUAUAUGUUCCCCUUACAACAUAGAAGUUCUAUCCUCCCCCUUGUCCAACCGUCCAUUUUUGAAUGGAGGGUUUAGAUUGCUCCAAUCACAAUGUCAUGUCUUUACACUGUUUUAUUUUUAAAUUUUUUUUAUAAACUAUUUUGACACUAAAUUAUGGACGUCCAUUCCUCUAUUAAACUGGUACUAACGAAAAAUAUUUUCAAUAAAAUGUAAUGACCAAAAUACCCUUGAAAAUUUUAAGGGGUAUUUUGGUCAUUACUUUUUAUUACAAAAAUUAUUGUUAAUACUUUUUAUCGGUGCGCCUCAAUGAGAAGAUGGUACCUAUCAAAUUUCAUAUUCAAAAAAUUUGUAUUAAAAAGAUUAAAAAUAAAAUAAUUUGGGACGUCGGAUUUAAGAUCAAACGGUGAAUAACUCUCUUGAUAAAAAAUAGACGGCUGGAUGAUAGGGGGAGGAUAAAACUUCCAUGUUGUAAAAAGAACAUAAAAAGCUUUCCCAUAAAUUUACCCGUUAAAUACUUUAAAAAACAUCACACGUACCUAUUAUAUAAAAAACAAAUAUACUAUAUAAAUUUAUUCAUUAAAAUACUUUUAAGUUUAAACUAUGGUAUAGUCACACGUUUACUAUGUAAAUUUAUCCAUUAAAUAUUUAAACAUCACACCGAUUUAGCAUGUACUAAAAAAAAAAUGAUACGCUUUUUGUUUUCUCAUUACAAUCAUUUAAUUAUGGUAUGGUGACAAUGGUCACUCCAUAAAACUAUGGUUAAAGUUUUAUAAAUUUCUUUAAACGAAAAGAGGCUCGUGGAAAUUUGGGUUUCAGAUUUGUGUUUACGGUUUAGAGAGGAGAAGGCUCGUAGAAAUUUGGGUUCACAUCUGUGUUUACGGUUUAGAGAGAAGAAGGAAGAAAGAAAAGGAACAAGAAGAAACAGAAGAAAAUAGGGCUGGGCCAUAGCCAUUAGGGUUUAUAGAGAGAAGAAGAAGGAAGAAGAAAGAGUUCAUGGUAUUCGCAAACCCUAAUGGUAGAGGCCCUGAGUUUUAGAGAGAGAAAAGGAAGAACCCUAAUGGAGGAGGCCCUGGUUUUUAGAGAGAGAAAAGGAAGAACGCUAAUGGCAGAGGCCCUAACUGAUUUUUAGAGAGAGAAAAGGAAGAUGGGAUGCUGAUUUGGGAUUAUUUGAAGAUGGUUUUCUCUCUGAUUUGGGAUAGUUUGAAGAUGGUUUUUGCAUUUUCUUGGGGAAACAGGAUAGUUUGAGGAGGGUUUUUCAUUUUCUCGGGGAAACAACAAGCUGACCUGAAGGAUUAAGUUUGGGGAACUAAUCCUAUAUGUACAAAUGCAUGCUCCUGUAAGUAUACGGUUUACACAAUCAAAAACAAAUUAUUGAUUAUUUGGUCCUGUAGUUCUACUCAUUCAUCAGUAAAAGACUAUGUUUUGAGCUCUAAUUUGUGCCUUAAACAGUAUUUUCAUAAAAACAAUUAUCACAAAUAAUCACAGAAAUCUGCGUGCAUAUGAUUUCUUCACACAAUGAUUUACUUUACAAAAUGAUUUGCUAUAAACAGUAUUUCAUUUACACAAUAAAUUUCCAGAAUAACAACUGAAAUCUGCAUCUAUUUGUUUAAGUUGUAAAAAAAAAUUCAUACCAUCAAUCUGCAACUGUGGCUUUGAAGAACACAGUGGGGAUAAAAGUUUCUAUUUUAGGUUUUUUUUUUUGAAAUAAUAAUUUUUUUGAAAAGCAUGAAAGUAGCAAUGGCUGCAAUACACAAAACAGGAAAAAAAAAAAAUUUCCGAUUUUUUGCCUGAUUUAAAUCGUAUUAUGAAAAAAGCGCGUUUUAAACGGUUUUACUAAAAUGACGCUAUUUUUUGCCUACCUUUUAAAAAAGUCGCGGUUUAAAACUGUUUCCAUAAAACCGCCGACUUUUUGAAAAAAAUCGCCUAUUAAACGGCGAUUUGCUCUCUAUAAUCUCCCCCUAAAACCCUAAUUCCACCAUCCUCCAUUGCUAGCUCAUCUGUUGCUUUAAUCCAGUCUCUCUUUCUCUCUCUCUAGUUCUCUCUUGAAGAGCCCUAAUUCGACCAUCUUCAGUAAUCAGCUCGUCGAAUUGGUCGCAACACAAAAUGCCUCGAGAUGACACAGAACUAAGAUCGGCAAAAAAUGCAUUCAAUGAGGCCUCUAAGACUGGUAAUCACCACGAGGAAGCUCGAUGGGCCAAUGUGAUCGGUGACAUUUAUAAGAGGAGAGGUGAAUAUGUCGAGGCCUUGAAAUGGUUGCGAAAAGACUAUGAGGUCUCAGUAAAACACUUACCAGAGAAGCACCUGUUACCCACUUGCCAGUCCCUUGGUGAAGUCUACUUGAGAUUGCAAGAUUUCGAAGAAGCCCUAAUUUACCAGGCACUUAUUCACUUUGGUUUUGAUUUUUGCGAAUAUAGCCAUGUGUUUUCUUUUUACCCUUUGAAUGGUAGAUUUAUAUAUAUAGUAGAAUAAUUAGCUAGGAUUUCUAUGGAAAUUGGGUUUUGAAUUGCGUUGUUUCAUGAAUAUUUAUUCACGGGUUCUGUCUUUCUUUUGUUUUGUUUCUAUGUCUUUGUUUCGUCUGGAUUGGUGUGGUUUUUGUGCUUCUGUUGGAUCUUAGUUAGCGUACUGUUUCUUCUGAUUAAUUUGGUCUUUAAUGUAUUGGUAUGAAACGGGGAAGAUUUGUCAAAGAAAGAGUUCAUAUGGUUCUUAUUAUUGUUAUUUCUCCUCAAAUGACCUUAUUCAUCUGUAUCUCGAAAGGUUUUGAGUGCUUAUUUGAGAUCUCACUUCAAACGUUAGACGGAAAGCUCACUACAGGGAAUGUUUUCCAUUUAUGUACCUUUGUUCUAAUGCAAUUUAUGUUUUGUAAAAUAAAAUGAUUACUAAGCAAAUUGUGGGUACAUCUGAAAUAAUGGAAUAAAAUGAAACAAAUGCCAAAAUAAUAGAGUACUGGAAAAUGAAACAAAUCCUGAGACUGACUUGAACAUCACAAGGCACUAAAAUGAUUGUUAGGGUAAUUGGGUGUUGUAUUUCAUUUUAUAGUUGAAAAAUAAGUAUGUAUUCAUCAUAUCGGAGCAGAACGGUUCAGAGUACAGAAUGUUUUUUGGACUAGGACCAAGAUUUCAAAUUGAAACCUUAGAUAUUGAUGGAUCAUAUCCCAUAAAUUCUUCUUAUUUUGUCAAUCAACAUCGCUUUCUUUUUAACCUCUCCUUUGUUUUUGUUCCUUGAUGACCGAACGAUUGGAUCUCUAAUAAAAUAACUAUCUAAUUUAUCUGUCGUUUCGCCACCUAUUUUUCAUUAUCAGUAUUCUUUAGAAAUCUCUUAUGCCUUAUUCCUUUUUCUGUGGGUAAUCAGUGAAAUAUUUCGAAAUAAUUGAAUUGGUCGAGCCAAAUUCUUCCGUCCCAAAAUCUGAAUACGAAUACUAUACUAAAACUAACCUAUAAUGUUAUUUAUGUUAUCUUUUGUUAUCCUAUGUUAUUUUCUUACUUCAAGUGGUAUUUUUAUUUAUUUAUGUAUUUAUUUUUGUGUGCUUUAUAACUUUAUGAUAUUAAAUCCACUCCUAAGUCCCAACUAUUGGUUUCUUAUGUCAAAUUUUGGUAUCUUUUAUAUGCUUGAAUUACGUCUGUACCAAUUAGCAACUAUUCUACAAAGAGCCCAGCAUUUGUAAAUCUGAGAUUCCUUUUCGUUCAACAAUAUUGCAGAAAAAACACUUGGAGUAUGCCAAAGAUGCCAGGGACCUUAUCGAGCAACAACGGGCAACCACACAGCUUGGUCGAACUUACUAUGAAAUAUUUAACACGUCAGAAAGUGAUCACCGUGCUCUUCGGAACUCGAAAAAGUAUUUCAAAAUGGCCAUGGAACUUGCUCGUGAACUCAAGGGAAAUUCCAGAAAUCAUAAAUCUUCAUCAUUUCUCAAGGAGUUCAUCGAUGCUCAUAAUAACCUUGGCAUGCUUGAGAUGGAUCUUGAUAACUAUGAAGAAGCUAGGAAAAUUCUUUUGGAGGGUUUAAAAAUUUGCAAUGAUGAAGAGGUGCCUGUGAAUGAUGAUGCACGUAGUAGGCUUCAUAACAAUUUGGGAAAUGUAUAUAUGGAGCUGAGGAUUUGGAAUAAAGCCAAAGAACACAUUGAGCGUGAUAUCUUUAUUUGUAACAAGAUUAGCCAUUUACAAGGAGAGGCAAAAGGGUUUAUCAAUCUUGGUGAAUUGCAUUGGAGAUUGCUAGAAUAUGAUGAAGCAAUGAGUUGUUAUCAAAAAGCUCUCAAAAUUGCUCGUUCUAUGGAAGAUGAAGAUGCAUUGGUUGAGCAGAUUAAUCAAAAUUUAAAGACUGUGAAGGAAGCUCGAGGGGUGCUUGAAGAAUUAACGAAAGAAGAGCAGAAGCUCAAAAAAUUGGAAAGGGGCACAAUAAAAGUUAGGGGCACCCCAGAUGAGAGGGGAUAUCUAUUAAAGCAGAAUGUAUUGCUCGACCUACUGAUUGAUAAGUCCAGCAUGAUUCGUGCUUGGCCUAAAGUAAGUUAUUUUUUUUUUAUAAUUUUUGAUAGUCCCUUUGUUGUCUUAAAUCAUGCUUUCUUUUGUGUGAAACUCCUAAAGAUAAAUGGGGCUCAUUGUGGUUAUUCUUAGACUGAUGGAACAAAUGUUGGAAAAUGGAUUCUGCAACAUUUUUGGAAAUUGUCUGGGGAAAUAUUGACAAUAUGGGGUUUGGAUUGAAUGUGUCCUAAAACAUAGAUGUGGAUCACUGGUAUUCUUUGUUUUCUGAAUUAUUAAACUUUUAUUUAAUUCUGCACCAAGCACACCAAAGUCUGAGGUCAAGUGACUGCAAAUUUUUAUGACUAAAAUAUGCGAAUGUCCAAUAGAAGCGUACAUCUGUUUUUUUAAUGGAUAUUUGUUAAUAUUGCUUGAAUAACCUGGCAUCCUUACCAGAUCAUUCGUAUUGGAAUAAGUCUUUUUCCUUUGGGAUUAGGAACUGGGAUUCGAAUCUUGGAUGUUAGUGCUCUGGCCUUUAUGCCCUAGCCACAAAUCCAAGAGCUGAACCCAAAAUAAUUGGUACUCCUUUUGGACUGUUUCUAUACGUUUCCCACCUGUUGGGGUUCGUGAUAUAUAUGUCUCUGGGGUUGUAGCACCGUGAAUUUGCAAAAAAGAAGAAGAAAGUGGCAAGUGAGCUCGGUGACAAGGAAAAGCUGGGAGAUGCAUUUCUCGUCAUCGGAGAGGCAUAUCAAAAUCUUCGAAAUUUUGACAAGGCCCAUAAAUGGUACAAGAAGAGCUGGAAUGUAUACAAGUCAAUUGACAACCUGGGGGUGAGCAAUUAUCUGAUUCUUUCAUUUAUUGGAUGGGUUUUGAGUCUAGAACUUUAGUGUCCUAGGAAUUUUUGAUUUCUGCUAAGAAACCAACUAUUGGUUGUUCUAUCAAUCUUUCUAUCUAUAGGUGGGUAUUUGGACGUCUAUCUAGCCCCACAUAACUAUCCUCACUGAUGAAGUUUAUAAGUUACUGAACUAUAACUAGAAGCCUGCCUUUCUUAAAAACUUAAGCUGAGAGCUUUAAUGGUUUCAGGGCCAAGGGCUGGCCAAAGUUAAUAUUGGCAUCGUUUUGGAUUCUGCUGGUGACUGGGCUGGAGCACUCAAUUCAUAUGAAGACGGCUACAAGUAAAUCCUAGACAUCUUUUCCAUGCUAAAACUUACUCUCUGUCUGAUUUAUGAAAACAUUAACAGUGUUAUAUUGUUUUAAUUCUCAUUUUGAUCGAUGUCUCCUAUGAUAUUUUAACCUGACGGGCUUUUGUGAAUCUUUUAAUCGCCUCUUACAUAAACCUACUUGCUCCUGCAGGUUUGCUGUUGAAAGCAACUUAAUUUCCGUACAGAUUACAGCACUUGAAAAUAUGCAUUAUAGCCAUAUGCUGAGAUUUGACAAUGUUGAAAAGGCAAGGUUAGCAGUCAUAAAUAAAUGAAUUUGGUUUCUUUUUAUAAAAAUAAAAUGGCAUGGUUUCCACGUUUAAAUUGGAUGAUUACUGCUACUAAGAUAGCAGCUUUGCAGGGAGUUGCAACAAACUAUUGAGAAUUUGAAGAUUUCCCAGAAUGAAAAAAUUGGAGGAAAACAUUUGGAGGACGAUUGUUGCUCUGAAUCUGCUACAGGAGAACAGUAUUUUUCAGACACCGAAUCAGAUGCACAUGGUUCACUGAAUAUAAUUGAAGAACCAUCUACAUCAAUGCCAGUAGAUCCAAUAAAUACUAUAGGAGUCAGAGAUGACCUCCCUUUGGCCUCAUUUAUUCAGUCCUGUAAGAAAUCAUCUUGGUCACAAAAGUCACAAGUGGGUUGCUGUCGAGAAAAAUCUCCAAUUUGUGGUGAUUCAAUGGAAGGUUUCUCAGGAGAUAACCAACAACUACUGGGACGUAAGCGAAUUCGUUUGGUUCUUUCUGAUGACGAAUUUGAUAAUGAUGAUGAAAGGGGUCAUCCUCGAGAAAAGAUGGAUAUUCAUCCCAUUCAUGUUGGUGUGACUUCUGAUGAAGGUUGGUAUUAUGUAAUUGCAACUAUGGUUUUUAGUGUAAGAAAUUGGGUGUGUUCAUUCAAAAUUUCAUUUCUUUCCAUGAUGUUUAUUAUUGACAAAUAAAUUGGUUAUCCAGCUGUGGCAGAGCAAAAGAAGGAUGUGUCAACAGAGCCUGCUCAGGUAAUUCUGAUGACAUGGGCAUAAAAUUUUGCGGUACCUCUUUAUCAAAGAGCCUUAUGCCCUGCAUGUUGCUCUGCAGUGUUAUUUUGUGGCUUUUUCAAAUGAGAUAUUAACAUAGAAUCCUUCAUCAUUAUAUUGUUUUUCCAGAAAAAAGUAGUUCUUCACUUACUCUUCUGCUUAAAACUAGGGUAAUGGAUUGCUAUAGUAAAUUGAAAAAACUUCUGAGUACAUAUGUGCUCGAUACUUAAUUUGGUUCUAAGAGAGUCUUCGAAGAGAUGAAACAUUUUUGUUUAACAGGGAAUAUCUACUUUCCCCACAUAUUUUUCCAGUGUAAAUACCUCCUCCCAUCUCGAAAGAAGGCCUUGUUCUAAAAUAUCUAGAAGUAACAAUUCUGAAUAUGAUAACAUGGAAUUCAGGAUCUUAAAUAUUGAAGAAAUGCAUAAUGCUUCUAGUCAAAUGGUCAAAGGUUCUGAAAUGUGUGGAAACACAGUCUCCAACAAAGUCCUUCCAAGCCAAAAUAAUAUGCUCACUUUUGAAAACAAACGUGAAGUAGGUUGUGUUCCUUGUGUUCUGUUUUUCUAGUAAUCUCAUUGUUGUGGCUCACUAGCAAAACAACACAGGAUUUUGUUUGUGAAUACUUCUUGUACUACCAUGAGGAAAAAUUAUCCUAUGCAUUUCUUUGCAAUGCUUUCUGUGCUGUCCCAUGUUUUAACCAUUAAAAAAUUGCCAAAUACAGUUUUAUAGCACUCAGAUUAACCUUGCUUGCAAAUUGGCCGUGACUAUUUAAUUUCAGUUAGCAACAGUCAUAUCUGCAGCUUCUCUGAGUGAUUUCAAUUAGAUGCUAUGGAAUGAUGUCAAUUUGAGAAUAGCUUGUUAUUCUUUGCGUUUCUUAUUCAAAUAUUAGGCAUAUUAGCUGUUUAGUUUCAGUUCUCUUUGUGCAAUAAAAAAACCCAAGAUGGGAUGUUUCUGGUAACUUGAAUUUCUCGUAUGAAACUAAUUUCAGUUUUUCUCGUUUUCUCAAUAACAAAAAUCUGAGAUUGCAUGUGUUAAGUUUGGUCCUUUUUUCUUGUUUUCUACAAGAUGAUCUGGGAGUCAUAUGAGCUUGUUUACUAAAAUAAACUCAAAUUUUAUGAUUGGUCAAGUUUUUUAUAUUACUUGAAUCAAAUGCAGUUAACUCAUGUCUAAUCGGUUCAAUAUAGAAAAUGAUGACGUGAGGAGGAUUGACUGGUACUUGUGCUCCCAACUUUUGGACAAGAACAUCAUAAAUCUGUGUUCUUAGCCAUUUUUAGCUGUGGGCAUUUCCAUCAUUUGUCUAGGGGCAAUGAUGAAAUAAUCUUGUACAGCUAAGCUUGGCAUUUAACCUGUAAACAUUGAUCAUGCCUAUAAAGAUGUCUCCUAAUUUUUUGAUUGCUUUUGCCAAAGAAUAAGAAUGCCCUUUUCACAAAUGUUGUACAACAUAGAGAUAACAUUGUUCUAAGUUCGUGCAUUAGGGAGGUGCAUAGUAGAAUAGCAUUUUAUAGAGCUUGGCAGCUAUAUAAUUCUAGGGGAGCAAUGGACCACUUUCGUAGUUGAUUUUCCCUGCACCUUAAUUGUGCAUAAAAAAUUAUUAACUAGCUAAAUUUAAAUUAAAUAUUUGUUUGAUAAUGAUAAAGUAAAAGGGAUGUAGGGAAAUUUGAGAAAAUGAAAAAAAAAAAACAACAAUUCUGGCCAUACACAAGCAAUUACUAUGAGAAACCUAGGGUUUUUUUCCCUAACCCACUUAGGGUUCUAAAAGCCUAAGCUUUUCUUUCUCUUUCAAAUUUGAAAUUACAUGGAAUGCCUCGAGGUUCCACACACCUCCUACAUAUAAUAAUUUAAUGUUCAAAGGACAUUAAAUGUUCAUACAAUAAUUAAAAGGAAAAAGUUUAUCUAGAGUCGGGGCUUUAAACAAUCAAAUUAGACUCCACCUCAAAAAUUUUGCUAGAAGAGGUUGUUUUGAUACCCAAAUAUCCUCAAAUUGAUCGUCCCAACAUCAAGAUGCAUGGACAUGAGAAAAAAAUGCAUUUCAAGUUUUGGAAAUAGUGCAUCUUGUAACGCAUUUUUGGACCGUCAAUUUUCAAGAUUUUCAAGUUUUCAUAGAUCUGCACGAUGUACACUAUUUUCUAAGCUUUAGAUUUUAUAAUUAAAGAUGAAAAUACAUUUUAAGGCUAUCACAAAGAUUUCUAGUGAUGACUCAAACCACAUUUCUUGACAUGAUUUGAAGAUGCGCAUUACUUUGAUUGUUUAGAGCCUUGGCUCUAUACAAGCCGCACCCUAAUUAAACUGACCCAAAAAGUCAUAACUUAAACACAAAAUUUAUAAUAACAAUUUUACCUCACUGAACAAUAACCCAUGAACAGUGCUUGUGAAUAGUACCUAUGAAUUGUAACUAGUGAAUAGUAAUUAACAAAUGUAAAAAAUCCUAGAAUCAUUAAAAAACUUAAAAAUCCUAAAAAUAAACCUUAAAAAGUAAAAUUAAUAUAUACAUCAUUUGAAAUUGAAUAAGAAUUAUUUUGUCCUGCAUCAAAAAAACUCGAGUUUUGAAGUGGGCUAAGAUGAAUUUCGCCUUAGUUCUAUAAACGUUUUCAGCCUAAACAUUAUGCUCUAAUCUUUGGACUUGUGGUUUAUUGGCCCAAUUAAAGUGGACUAGUUAUGCAUUGGGACGUGGGCUUUAAAAUAAUCAAUUGAUAUAUUCAUAAACACUUUUGAGAGACUCUCAGGGAAAGGGUCUUUUAUGUCAACAUAUUCUAUUUAGCAGUUUGCUUGAAUUGCAUUAGUUCAAUCAUAGAACUCCGCUGAAUUUGCCUAGGCUCAGCCUUAGACCAUACCGCUGGUGCAUCUUCAAGAUGAGUGUUGAAUUUGAUGAUUGAGCUAACAACGUUACCUAUUAAUUCUCCUUGGUGUCCAUCAUAUUUUAUGUCAAAGAUUGGUUUAACUAUGAAAUCUUGUUUUCUCAUCAUUGGUCGAAUCUCCUACAAGAUCUUGUUAUUAAUUUAUGUAUGUAUCGAAUAUUGGUCGCAGAUGCCUAACUACAAUCUAUUGGAUAAAACCUACGUUAAGAUCAAGAAUAUCCUCCAAACCGAAAAUCCUAGAGUGAUGUUCCCCAUGUUUAGGUCUUCUAUUACUUUUCUCUUCACUCGACCAUUCACGAAGGGUGGUACUUGACAUCUUCUUAGGUGGAAAGAUCACUGUCUUGCCCAUGAACGAUGCUCUCAAACUGUUGCGCCAAUUGCUGAAGUUGCCUUUUAAGUUCGUCAAUUUGUUCAUCUCUGGGACCACAAAAUGGAUAUGAAGAAACCUCCCUUCCAUGAUCCCUUCUUGCUGUUAUGGGUUCUCCAAAAUCACAAACCCUAGGCAGAUAAUCAACAAAACCUUGCUGAAAACAGCAAAAUCUACACUGAUUUGGCAAAAAUUGGCCCAAAAUAAACAAACACUAGACUUGGUUGUAGUUUCCUGGCUUCAUUGUUGAAGAAACCUUGAGCUCUAAUGCCACUUGAUGUAGGGAAAAUUGAGAAAACAGAAAAAACAAUAAUAAUUUAGCCCAUACACAAGUAAUUACUAGGAGAAACCUGCGAUUUUUUUUUUACUAACCUAGCUAGGGCUUCAAAAGUUAAGUUUUUUUUUUUCUCUUUCGAUUGUGAAAAUCAUAUGGUUACUCCCUCAAGGCCCCCUACACAUCUUAUGUAUUAUAGUUUAAUGUUGAAAAACAUUAAAUGUCCAUACAAUAAUUUAAAUAAUAAAAAAAGUCUUAACUUAAAACACAAAAUUUGUAAUGAUAAUUUUGCCUCCCUAUGAACAAUAACCCAUUAACAAUAUCAAUAGUACUUAGGAAUAGUAACCAGUGAUUAAUAAAUACAAUAUAAAAAAUCCCAAUAAUCCCAAAAUACUUAAAACCCUAAAAGUAAACUCUAAAACUCAAAUUAAAAUUUACAGAAUUUGAAAUUGAAUAAAAAUUAAAAAUAUGAAUCGUUUGUCCUGCAUCAGAAUGAUAGGAAAUAAACAUUUGAAAGAUCUUUUGAAUUAUGUAGAAGUUAGCAAAACUUGGUGCUGCUUUUCUGUUGCAUUUAACUCUCUCUCUCUCUCUCNNNNNNNNNNNNNNNNNNNNNNNNNNNNNNNNNNNNNNNNNNNNNNNNNNNNNNNNNNNNNNNNNNNNNNNNNNNNNNNNNNNNNNNNNNNNNNNNNNNNNNNNNNNNNNNNNNNNNNNNNNNNNNNNNNNNNNNNNNNNNNNNNNNNNNNNNNNNNNNNNNNNNNNNNNNNNNNNNNNNNNNNNNNNNNNNNNNNNNNNNNNNNNNNNNNNNNNNNNNNNNNNNNNNNNNNNNNNNNNNNNNNNNNNNNNNNNNNNNNNNNNNNNNNNNNNNNNNNNNNNNNNNNNNNNNNNNNNNNNNNNNNNNNNNNNNNNNNNNNNNNNNNNNNNNNNNNNNNNNNNNNNNNNNNNNNNNNNNNNNNNNNNNNNNNNNNNNNNNNNNNNNNNNNNNNNNNNNNNNNNNNNNNNNNNNNNNNNNNNNNNNNNNNNNNNNNNNNNNNNNNNNNNNUUAAGUUAAAGUAACGUUACGUUUAGUUAAGUUAUUAGUAGGUAAGUAAGUACGUAAACGUUACGUUACGUCGUCGUCGUUCUUCGUUCGUACUACUUACUCUCUCUCUCUCUCUCUCUCUCGCUCUCUCUCUCUCUCUCUCUCUCUCUCUCUCUCUCUCUGUUUAGUACACACACAUGUUGCAGUAGUUGUAUUUUAUGCACUUAUAUGAAUAGGUGUAUUGAAAUGCACUCGCGUAUAUCACUGGGAUGUAAAUUGCAUGUACAAGUUCUAGCCACCACAACAUCUUGAAGGUGAGCUUUCGACGAGUGGGCUACUACUUGUCAUAGCCUGGUGCUCGUUAAGGCAUGCUAUGGCUAUACUGUCGGAUUUCUCGCUCCACACUGGAUAAACCCUUAAACUAGAAAGCAAGCAGCCAAGCUAAGUCUAGAAACGCACAAUCAAGCCUUCCAAAACCCUUCAAAACAUAUGGAUGUAUUAAUGUAUACAUGUGUAUACUGUAAGCAUAUUUUCUAGGUUUUCUAAACCUUGUGCCUUCUUAGAAUUGCCUCUUCUAGGUUCUUGCAUUCUCUCCACCAGAGAUUAUCUGCAACCAAAGCCAUUUUAUGAUUAUGAGCUAUGUGGUUCUAUAUGGUCUUUUUUGGGUGAUGUCCUGUUUCUAUAUACAUCUAUACGUGUGUAUGUAUACUAUGUAAAUAGGCAUAUCAUGUUAGCCCUUUUCAGGAUUCCAUGUUUUCGCUUUAUCUUAAAUUUGCGUUCUGCAUCAAAAAGCAUAAUAUGAGACCAAAAUAUAUGUAUUUGUAUCGUGCUCAUGUUUGAUGCAGUUCUGUCAUUUUAAGCUGCACGUCAUGGUUUGAAUAACUUGUAUUAAGAAAAUCAGCUCCUUUCAGCCUCAUUAUUUUCAAUUGUUGUGAGAGAAUUUAAAAGCUUUAUACUUUGUUUACACUUUACAUGUGAUGUGCUUGCCUUGCAUAAUUAACUAGAUGAUUUUGACUACAUGCCCUUAGAAUAUUUGUGUUAUGUAAUUUUCCCUGGAUGGUGUCAGGCCUAUAUUCAUUUAAUGCAUUUGGAAAGUUUCUCGCUUCAAUGUAUUUUCUAAUUUAUGUAAUAUUCUUGCAGUCCAAUACUAUCUCAUGUAAAGUAGGUGAUAUCAUGAUCAGCGUUCCCAUAAGUUCAUGCUUGGAGGGCGAUACACUGAGUAUAGCUUGCAUGAAAGUUGAUUUGGCUUGUCGUUAUUAUUUAAUGCUUCUGGAAGAAAAGAGGUCCAAAGGUAUCAGUUUACCAUCCAAUUUUCAGUGGGGUCUCUUAGAAUCCAGCUUCUUAAUAACAACUUAGUUUUUGAUAUUCUGACCAUUUCAGACUUAUUUCGAUUAUCUUGGUAUCGUAAUUGCUGUGGUUCACUUGGUUAGGUGUCUUGCCUGUUAUUCGGGAUCUGAAGCACAAUGGAAAGCCACUUAAAUCCACUGAAUUCAUAGAAGAUCUUAGAGACUGCUUUGGUGGAGAAAGCUGGAUUGAAGUAGUCAUUGGUGGUAAGACCUAGACUGUGCUUUUCAUCACGCAGUCUCUAUGCUCCUUUGUCCUCUUAAGGUUGUUAUUAAUAAUUCAAGUUCAUACAUAUUCUAAUUUGCUCAUUCAAUCCUUCAUGUGAAGUUACCUUUAUAGAGUUAUAAGUAGAUCUAUGCCAGUGCAAAUAUCAUUAUUAUAUGCGUUUGUUGUCCAUGUCUAUACUAUGGCACCUCCUCCGAUUGUGCCACACCUCCCAUAGACCCUGUUUGCUUCUUGCACCAAAUCAAUGUGACAAACGCUCCUUUCAAUCGACCCUUAUAUGCAUGUAUCUUGUAUCAUGCUGAGAGCUCAGAUUAAUAUUUUGACUGGUCAUGUCAUAGACUCAUAGCCACAAUUGAUUGGUUUGUCCGUGAUACUGGUUGCCUCAUGCUGUGGAAAUCUUGAAACAUAUUCAAACUGUUGAUAAAUUUGUAACCUAAACACCUGAUAUCCUUUUGAUAAUUCAUAUAUUAUUUUUAAUUGCAUGGUGUGGGAGUAAGGGAAGUCUGUUUAUCACAUGCAUCAAAGUUGGUAGUGUCUGAGCACAUGUUCACAAAUCUAUAUAUGUUUGUAUGCAUGCAUGCACAAAUGAAUGUAUACAUGUACUGAAGUAUUCUUUUCUAAAAUAGGUAUAUCUGAUGAAAAAAUAUUCAUUUUAUGAAGGAUAUCUCUCAAAAGAGAAAACAAUCACUAACCCACUAUAAGAAAAUUAUGGCCUAAUACAGAGAAUUUGAUGCCUGAUUAUUCAAAAUAUUGGCGUCCAAUUGUUCGACUUAACUUGGGCCAUUAUGUUGUUCAGUAAUAGCAUAUGACUAAGGGGAUACUUGUUUUUAAUGUUGGAAUUUGGACUCCACAUUGUUCAUAGUAUUUUUGAAGUGUAUCUCUCUUGGUUUAAAAACUCUAGCAAGAGACAAAGGACUCACCUUAGUGGACUCCGCUUGGCUUUUGACAGAAAAUUCAAAACUUGAAUGAUGCUCAAGUCUUCCAUGAAGUUUUCAAAUAUCUCUCCUUUUUUUGUUUAAAGACUGAAUUAGUCUAGGCUUGCGAAUCGGCUCCAAUGAUUAUUUGGUCUAUAGUCAAAUAUUUUCUCACUCUUUCCAAUGUGAUGAUUGAUCCAAAGAUAUCUUUUGCACGAAUGAAGUGGGUUCUCUGCUUUAUUUGUGCUUACUUUAGAUGACUAUUUUUCAGGUAUAUCAUGAAAGGAAAAUUGUUUCAUGCGGCUGGACCGAAUUUCUAUAUAUGCGGUCCAGAAAGUGUAAAGCAUCAAUAUUAAAGAUGGAUUCAUCUAAAAACAAUGGAAACUAACGGUCCAAAAUUUUUCUUACUGGAUCUAUUAUUUCUAGUUUUUAAAAUUUAUUUAUUUAUUCAUAUUCAUGAUCUCCAUCUUAGAGAUUACAUAUUCUUAAAAAUUAAGUCGUAAAAUCCAUCACAAAAAUAGAUUUAUUAAAUGGCCUGCAUUUCUACAUAUGCGGGCUUGGCCACAUGGAAACCGGGUCCAUCAUGAAACAUCUUGUUCUUCAAUGUUCUAGCUUUCUGCACCUUCAGUAUUUCUUGCAAAUAUGUACAUCAUAUAUGCCUUUGCAAUUUCUUUUUGUUUGUCAAUUGCAGGAUGGGUUCAAAAGCACUUGAUUAAGUUUUAUAUUGACUGUUGUGUUAAAUGCUCUGAAGAACCCAAUAUGAAGCUAUUGAGAAACUUGUACAACUUGGAGGUAUUUCCAUUGCUAACUCUAGUGUCAUUUUUUUGCAUCUCCUGAGAAUUAAUUGGCACAACAUAGGCCACUAGGUUGAGUUUCCUUAAUUGCAUGGAGUUUAUUUUUAAGUUUUGAUUUGUGUACCCAGGUUAGCGAGGAUGAAGUUGUAGUCUCUGAUUGUGAAUUACAAGAUGUAUCGUUUUUGCCUCUUUCAAAGGCGCUUCUAGAACAUGGGACAGUUUCCAUUUUGAACUUGUCUCAUAACUUGUUAGGUAGGUGUUGUCUUCUUGGAUGUUGUGAGUGCCUUGUGUCUUUUUAUUUCUCUCCUCAUUUAACAGCUAUUCACAAUUAAAAGUCCAUGUAAAUGUUGCAUUAUCUCUACUUGUAGUUUUGUUCUCCAUAGAUUUUAAUGUUCAUUUACUGGAAACUUUGAUAGUGGUGAAAAUUUUAUUUACAUUGUAGGAGUGUCUAAAAAGUUGGACUCGGGCUCCAAGUUGUGGAAUUCCUGAGCCUGAGUCCAUCACAGAUUCAGCAGAGUUGGAGUCCAAGUUAGCGAAUUUUUGCUGAAAAUAACAAACAUUAAUCUGCGUUCAAGAGAGAAUCACCUGAUUUUUAGGCUUCUCUCACCGGAUUCGCCAGGGUCCCGAUCCAAUCUGACUCAGGGAAUUCCUGAGUCAGAUGGGUGGGCUUUUAAUCACUUCUUUAUAGUGUGCAUUUUCUAUGUAAUGAGGCCAGAUACCCAUACUUAGCCCGACUUUAUUGUAACGAUCGAACUUUCUUGGAUAGGAUUUGUGCAAUUGUUAUUGUAAAUGUUGGUAUUCCUUUUAGCGCACUGUUAGAUCAUCGCAGACUUGGAAAAAAGAUUCCUUAGCCUUUUUCUUUCCCCUUUCCUUUGUGUUAACGGGUCAUGUACCCUACUAUGUACUGCCUUCGUUCCAGCUACUGUCUAACAUUCUCUGUCAAUUAUGGAACAUGUGGUGUUUAUCAACUCUCUCCCUUUCAGGAAAUGAGACGUUGAAGAAACUGCAUGAAGUAUUCUCUUUGUCAUGCCAAAGUUAUGGUGGGCUGACAUUGGAUUUGCAUUGUAAUAGAUUUGGACCAACUGCACUAUUUCAGGUUCUUAAACUUCCCUUAUUCAAUUAGUUGGGAAAAAGGCUUUGACGAUGAUAAUGAAACUUCCACCAUUCAAUUUUUUUUCUAGGCAUUCAAAACUAUUUAGAUAAAGAUUAUUUUCCAAUGGUUGUGUAAGGCCUUCAUUGUCUCUAUCUAUGGUACCAAUGCUUUAUACUGAUAUGUUUUUGAUCAUUGUUAAACAAUCAAAAACUGCUAUUUUCAUGCAUGUACACUUAUACAACUUAUUGAGUUGUGAAUGCUUCUUUGUUUUAAUAAGUAAAAUCAUGAUAAAUUCGUUUAUAUGAAUAUUUCUAUUGAACUCCCAUAAUAUAUGAAUAAAUGAAAGACAAAAAGUGAAAAUAACAAAAACAAAAACAUAAAAAAGAUGUAAAGCAAAAGUUAAAAAACAACUCCAAUGAUUCGAUUGGAAAAAAUCCUUAGGAGAAUUUUAAUGGCUAGUGAUGUGAAACUAGAACUGGAGUGUGUUGAGUAAAAAUGGCGAAAUAGUUUCAUAGACUGGGACUCAAAAGCAUAUUAUUUUGUUAUUGAUCAAGACAUUUUCAUAUGAAAUAGCUUAUGAAAAGGUACUUGGUCAAAAUAAAGUAGUUUAUAAAAAUGUUCCUUCUAAAAGGGGUGAGGUUUUUUUCCCAUUUUUGUAACUCCACUCAUAUGUAGUCACAUACAUAGCUGAACAGUCUGAAUUGUACAUAUGGCUUUUGACAUUAAAAAAGUGGGUGUGGAAACGUCUUGUAUUGUUUAUAGUACAUCAUCCAUAUAUAGUUAGUGUAUCAUAUCAUAUAUAGUAGGUGUAUUAUAUGACAUUAUUGAAGGUGCCGUGGUGCAUCAUGUAUAGGAAGUGUAUCAUAUGCAAGUUUCCCUCGUGUUGUAUAUUUAUAUGUGACUAGUGAAUGAGAUGUACAAGUUUUCUUUCUGCCUCUUUGAGUGUUUUACAUGGUAUCAGAGUAAAGAUUUUGAGCAAUGUUUUAAAAAUUGGUGACUUGAUCCGGAAUCGGGAGAUCCUAAUCGGGUAUCGUCCAGCCCGUCCUUGACGGGAUCCGACCGAUUAUCUACAUUAAAUCGCGUGCUGUCAUCAUGGGUUGCCUGCUGAUGUCAUUGAUCGCCAGGUCUACCACAUCCGUACCUUAUAAAUUUUUUUUUUUAAAAAUUAGGGGCGGCACAACUUUUUGUGAGGAAAAUACAAACUUAAAAUAACAACCUUCAACUACAUGCCACAUGGCGACCAAACAAAGCAUCUGCAAUUUUCCCUAGCACGCGUGUCUAUUGUUAAGCUACAAUGCAAACCCAUGGCUUUUAUAAAGCCUAGCGCUUCCUAACUUCCCCGAUGUGGGACUUGCUCCUUCCCUGGCACUAUAGUAAAAAAUACUUAUUUGUUGCGCUAAGUUCCAGGUGUUUUCAAAAUAACACGUAGUUUGCACCAACUGCAAACUACACCCCGUACUUAUUGUUAUAUAAUUAUAAAUAUUCAUAAUACUACUAAUAAAUAUGAUUAUAAAUUUAAAUCAAUCCAAAUUAUUUCAAAUGUCAUAUAGUUGGCCUUCUAUUAUGAAUACAAUCACAUUAAAAUUCUAGUAAUAUUAUUAUAUUGAAUGAAUAUAAUUAUAUAAAAGUUGUUCAAUUAUUUACUAUAAUUAUGUUAAAAUUGUUAUUGAUAUAUUGAAAUUUUUAUCGUUUUAAAUACAUUAAAACAUCACAUAAUUUUAAUAUAUUAAAUUGCUAUGUUAUUUAAUAAAUUGUUAUUGUUAUAUAGAUUAUGUCAUUUUCAUAUUUAGUAUAGAUUGUAAUUUUAAAUUAAUAUAUUUAUAACUUUAAAAAAUAUUAACAAAUAACAUAUUGUUAAUUUAUUAUUAUUAUAAUAACUUAUUUUAUGCAACAAUGAAAGUUAAAUAUAAUUUUGAAUUGUAUUAAGUUGUUUUAUAAAAUGAUGAAACAAGUUCUCCGUAUUUUCAUAGUUUUUAUACAAUAAUGAAAAAUCAUAAUGCAAAUCACCACUAUUUUUUUAAAAAAAAUUUAAAAAACUAGAUUUUUAAGAAAUUAUAGUGAUUUUUUUUAAAUUAUUUUAGGCUGAAACCGUUGAUCCAGCUGAUGUGAUGCCAAUUUCACUUUAUAUGGAAAAUUAUUAUAUUUAAUCUUAUAAUAUAGAACUGUAUUCUAAUUUUUAAAUUAUUUUGAUGUAAUAUUAUAAUAUUAUAUUAUAAUUAAUAAUUAUACUGACAUCCAGCAAGGAAAACAACAUCUUAAUAUUCAUUUAUUUUUACAAAAUAAUGAAAGUGUCUAAUGCACUACUCCUAAUUUCUUUUUGAAACUAAAAGAACACUAUUUUUAGAGAUUUAUAGUGUUUUGUUUUGGGACAAAAAUUGCCGAUUCAGUCAAUCCUCCGUUCCGAUCCGAUCCACCGAUCCAACAUGGGUAUGGGUGAGGAUGAUUUGGGUUCCCGAUCCGUUUUUUUAAACACUGGUUUUGAGAGAUCAAGUUUUUCUACCUCAAACCACAUUGUCUUUCCUCAUCUAAUCACCACAGAGAUAAGGUGGUUUUCUUGUAGCCUUUUGUGGAUCUCUUAUUGGCCUUAUUUUGGUUGAUCUUUGUAUGGGGUCUCAAAUCUAACCUCUUUUGGGUUGAUUUCUGGCAGCCCAUAAACAUUUCCAGCUGAUGAUUUUGAAAUCUCAGUUUUGAUCUCAGAUCAAGCCUUUUGAUCAAGGUUUGAUCUCAUAUCUUCUUUAGGGUUUUCUUUUGAUUCAAUCUGAGUUUUGAUCACAUAUAGAGGGUGCUAAUGUGGAUUGGGCCUUCUGAGAAGGGAGAUGUGUUGGCGGUAAAACUUGAUGGGGAAAAACUAUCCAGAUCGGUGUAUUUCAGUAUUUUUUUUUGAAGGAAAGGGCUUUUGGGGGUAUGUUGAUCAAAUUGAAUCACAACCUGCUCCAUCCAACUCCAAAGAAACCUAACAAUGGUAGGUAAACAAUGCUAAGAUUGUCUCGUGGAUCCUAAGUUAUGUGGAUACAAAUAUUGGAAUUCCAAUCAAAGAAUUUCACACUAUGAAAGAAAUAUGGGAAUAUCUAGAAAAGGUUUAUUAGAAAUCAAAUAUUGCAAAAUGAUUCUAAAUCGAGUGUGAUAUGUUUACUCAUGUACAAGGCAAAAAGAAUAUCCAAGAAUAUUAUGUUGGUUUCUUGAACUUGUGGACAAUAUAUUACUACGUUAAGUGUGAAGGCUCUAAUAUUUGCUACAUUAGAAGUUAAAGAUAAAUUAUUAAAGGAAGGUGAUGCAGUUUUGGAUGGAGUUCUGCUCCAAAUAUGGGGUCGUUAUGCUCCAAAUAUAAAGUUUGUCUUUGUGGCCCAACAAACUAGAGUAAAACCAUCAUGAAAGAACCGGUCUUCAUUGUAACGCUAUGAAUGUAAAAUAUUGUAUUCCUUCCAUGGGGUUGCAAAAUCCUGUUUGCUUCACAAUUACUAUUGCAUGACAAUAGAGUCUGAUAAUCUGGUGUUUCCAUGCUGAUUCUGGACCUUCCACUGGUCCCGUACUAUAAAGUGUUUCACUAUAGCAUGACUAGAAUUCAGUUUGGAGCUCAAGCAGGAACCGUGAUGAGCGGGAUUUGCGAAUCAGGAUUUGGAUUCAGCAAGUUGUUAAUUAAUAUUUUCGACAAAUGUAAAAAAUAGACACUUGAUCAAAAUAAUAACAGAUUAUAAUAAUUAUUUAAAAUUGCGAUUGUAACUGGCUAGACACUGGAAACAAGCAUUGUGUUUUCCUGUUUCCUUGAGAUCUCAUAAAUGAAACAUGAAACUCGACGAAUCUUGGUGGACUGGGCAAGUUCAUAGUGAGGCUUGGCUGAGUCUCAUUUACCUUUAUUCCCAUGUUUCUGAGUUGAUGGGAUUUAGGACUGGCCUGUUCUGAGUCAACUAAGAAAGUAUGUAGUCAUGAGUUUUAAAUGCAGUAAAUAAACCAAUCCAAUAGGACAUGACUCUUGUAUGGAUAUUAUACUUCAUAUACCUUGGGGCCAUUUGGACACCUGGAAAUAUAUUGUCUGUGAAAUAUAUUACGGGCGUAAUAUGUUACUGUGUAAUACAUUACCUUCAAAUGGGUAGUAUUUAUAUGUAACUUGGAAAUACAUUGCUACUGUUUGGCUAUGUCGAGAAGAAAUAUGAGAAAUGCAUUACCAUCCAAAUAUGAAAAAUAUGGUUAUGUUUGGCUAACAUGAUUAGACUUUGAUUUCAACAUGAUAAGUCAUUGGAAUAACAUGAUUUUAUUGUGAUAAGCCUUAUUUUUAUUUAUUUUUUAUAGAAGUCUUUCAAAUGUCUCUCUAUAUAUAAUUUCAAAUAAGCAAUAAAUUUAUGAUACCAAAAUCAAAAUCUUUAUGGUACGAGUUAAAAAUGGGAAGAAGUUUGAUUAGUAAACUAGAAGGUUUGGUAAUUGCAGUAGAAAAUUUUGAAGCAUUGGAGGAGACUGAAGAGGUAUCUUAUUUCAAUUGAGCUUUUACUAAUAUCUUAUGAGGAUUAUGUUGUGUGAAAUUUUUUAUUAUGAUUGUGUUGUGUAAUUUCUCGUCGAUUACCAAUUAUUAUUUUUGUUUUUAUACGAGAGCUGAUGGCGGGCUACAACCCAAAUUGGGGACCCAAACUGGGGAUAGAGAGGGAAGAAGAAAUUUUUUUAUUAUGAUUGCAGUAGAAAAUUGUCCCUCAUCAAUUUCUACAACUCUUCAAAUCAAUUUAGAUUUCUUUUUACUUUCACUUACCAAUUGGGGAUAGAGGGAUGUAGAAAGUUUUUGGGGAUAGAGGGAUUGUAGAAAUUUUUUAUUAUGAUUGCAGUAGAAAAUUGUUCUUGUCCUCGUACACCUGUUCAAAUCAAUUUAGAUUCCACUUUUCAUAUCCCACUUUCACUUUCUACUUACCUUAAUAAUUAUACAAUAAUGUUUUUUUAAGCAAGGAUAGGGUAGAGAGACACGCCCAAGAUUUCCAAAGAUUACCUGUCAACCUCUUAAUAGAUUUUCACCUUACCUGUCAACUUCCUAAUAGAUUUUUCACCCCUUACCGUGCUUAAUGGAUUUCGUGUUUUUUGGGGAAAUCUCGGGUAAUGUCUUUCCAUUUCUUUACGUGUACCCUUCCUUGUAAUCUAUUGUCAUGUAACACGUACCCAAACGGCCCCCUUGUGUACGCUCUUCUAAUUGUCUGAGGACAUCUGUGAAAUUUUUUGUCCAGGUGAUUGACAUUAGUCAUGCAUGAAUACGCAUAAAAACCUAAGAGGAAAAAAUCACAAUUAACUUUACAGCAUUCAUGUUCGUCUCUCCAACCUUUUUAGUUUUCUGACACUCUCAACCUCAAUAGUGGAUGGCGUUCGAAUGAUAUAUGAUACUUUUGGUGUUAACUUCCAUUAUGCAGUUAGUAUUAUUAAUAUUUCUGGUGUUUUUUUACUUACCCAAAAAAAAUAUUUUUGGUGUUUUUCCAGAUUUGUGAAUGCCCUGUAUUGUUUAAUCGACUGGAAGUUCUGAAUCUUUCUGGAAAUCGUCUAACAGAUGCUUGUGCUUCCUACCUUUCCACCAUUUUAGAAAAAUGCAAGGGUGGGUUAUAUUCUAUCUGUUGCUUUGAGCUGUUUUCUUAUUGUUACCUUUAAUCACAUGUAUGUGUAGUUCUUCUACAAUUGAUUUUUUCUUUUAAAACUAGAAAUUUGUAUUAGUAAGAUGUUCCUGUUUAUUACUUUGUUCUUAGAUCAUAGGUAGGUAGCUUCUCAAUAUGUAAUAUCCUAAUGAACUGCUUAUAUUCUUUUAGCAUUAUAUAGCUUAAGCAUAGAAAGCUGUUCAAUUACAUCCAGAACAAUUCAGAAUAUUGCUGAUGGACUCGACAACAAAUCUGGACUUUGGCAACUUUCUAUUGGUAAGUGUAUGCUUUCUUCUUCAUUUUUCCUAGUCAUAUGUCUGAUAUUGUCACUCAGCUCUCCCAUUAAUAUAUACCUUUUUUAUUUUUUGACUGCUUAAACAGGAAAGAACAAUCCCAUUUCUGGAAAUGCUAUGCGCUGUCUUUUGGACAAACUUUUGUCUUUAAAAAGGUCAUGUUCUAACCCAUCAUCAUAAUAUUCACUGCUUCUAGUUGGGAAAAUUGUUUACUUAUAUUAAAUAAGAUGGCACUUUGCAUCUCUCUAGAUUUUCUGGACUUAAUCUGGUUGGCAUAAAGUUCACCAAGCCUAUGGUUGAUAUCCUCUGCCGCUUUGCCAAAUCCUCGUCAAGUCUCUCCUCAUUGAUGCUUGGCUGUACUUCUAUUGGACUUGUGAGCAUCUCUCUCUCUCUCUCUCUCUCUCUCCCCCCACUAUAUUUUGCAUGCGAUCUGCUAUAUUAUGCACACUAACAAAAGUAUUCUCUAAUGACAAUUAAAUUUGUUGUGAUAGGAUGGAGCUUUAAAAUUAACUGAAGCGCUGUCAAAUGGAAGUCAAGAACUUGUGAAGCUUGACCUGUCAUUCUGUGGAGUGACUUCUCAUGAUUUUGUACAACCGGUGACGAACAUCGUCUCAAUAACUGGUCUUUUACAAUUGAACUUGAGUGGGAAUCUCCUUGGGCAGCAGGUUGUGUUCUUUCUUAUUUUUUCAAUAACUUUUCCAUUUCUAUUACUUUUCCUAUCGCCUUUUUCUUGCUCCAAAGGAACAGGGGAAAAUUGGGAUCUUUUUCAUAUGUUAACAUGCACCUUCAAUUCCUGCUGUACAUACUUUACAUAUACCAUCUAACAACGUUGGUUUUAGGAGUUUUUCCCUAGUACUGAGAAUCAGAAUAUUUUAGGCAAAUGGCUUAAUACUCUUUCUUCUUGGUAGCGGUUAUAGAAAACCAAUUAUCUGAAGCUCUCGGCGCGUAAUAAUAAGCUUCUGAAAGUAAUAGGCUGGAGCCCCCACCCCCCCAAAAAAAGAGGCUUGUUUCCUCUAAUUUUUUUAAUUGGUCAGUUUGUUUUCUCCAAUGUUAAAAAAAAUGGAUCGGUGAUUUGAAUCGGUCACAACCAUACCUGUGUUGGAUCGGGUGAAUCGGUGUAUCGGAUCGGAAGACUCAAUAAUUUGUCUCAAAAUGCUUUUAAAAAUAAUUAUAGAAAAACUGUUCAUCCUUUUCUUUUCGCUUGACUCGGUGAAGAAUCGGUCAGACUUGGUGAAGAAUCAUUGGAAUCGGCGAUUCCACAAAAAAAAACGGCGAGUCUACCAUUCUGGAUCGAGUGAAUCCCGGUUUUUUACCGGAUUCGGAGCGGUCAUGGUGAUUCCUGAUCUAGAUCACUUGAUUCAAGAUCGGGUCACCGACUUUUUGAACACUGGUUUUUUCUAAGCCUUAAGUGUAUGGUUCCAUAUUGCAGGGUCUAGGUGCCUUGGCAUCCUUCCUUGUUAGUCCUCAUUGUUGCCUGAGAGUUCUGAACCUCAACAACUGCAAUCUCGGUCUCGCUGGGAUUCUUCAAAUUCAUCAAUCCUUGGCAGGUAAUCAACAAGCCUCUCAUUUUUGUAACAUCCAUAAAGGCAAGUUCAACUCUACACAUGCUUUCCCAUUUGUUGCAGUAAACAAUUCCAUGGAAGAACUUUAUCUCGCUGAAAAUGUGACUUUGACAAACGACAUCUCUCUAAAUGAUCUUCCUAAAGAGAACCCAAGUUUAAAUUGUUCUCAUAGGAAGUUCAAACUUUCUCUCACUUCAACCAAGAGAAAAAUAGCACUAGACAAUCAACUAGGCUUACCAGAACAAGUUUCAGACAUUAAGGGCCUUGAAGUUGCAGAUAGUGAAGGUGAUGAGAACCGAGAAGAUGCAUACCUUUCUGGUUUUGAUGACAGUUGUGCUAGCUCUCAUCCACCAUCAGAGCUUGAAAUGGUAGGGAUGGAAGCAACUGAAGAACUAUGCUCUAAAGAAAUCAGUGGACAGUUCAUCCAAGAUCUUUCAACUGCCAUUGCAAUGGCAAAGACCUUACAAUUGCUGGAUCUUAGUGGGAAUGGAUUUUCCAUGGAAGCUGUGGAGGCCAUGCAUUUGUCGUGGUCAUUGAACUCAAGGUGUGGGGGAUUGAGGCAUGUGCAGGAGGGGAUUGUUCAUUUCUAUGUUGAAGGUAGAAAGUGCUGUGGAGUUAGGCCGUGCUGUCGAAGAGAUUGAUUCACAGGCCGAACGAUUAUAUGCUCCUACUUUUGUGGUGCAUUUCAUCCAUGCCACUCCCUUGGGUAAAACCCAUGUACGAGUAUUAUUUGGACCCCAAAUUUCGGGAUGUAACUUCCUCAACCCAACAAUCAACAUUAAAAGGUUUCACAUGUGCAUCUAGGGCUGCCACCGGGCUGGGCUUGGGCUGGCCAAAGCCCCUGACCUCUGCCAGACAAAAACCUGAAAUACUUAAUGGCUUGCACCGACCCGGCCCAAAUAUCUAUUUUCCAGCCCCGACCCAGCCCAGCCUAAAGCUCUGUUGUAGCCUGGGGCUGGGGCUUGGCCCAACUUGGGUUUUUUUUUUGCUCAUUUAAGAUCUAUCUCUCUUCAAAAUUAUUUUACAGGAGUUGAGCUUUAAAAUAAACAAAUUAUUUCAUAAAAAUCAAAUAUACUUUAAAUCUUUGAUGUAGGUUUUGAGGGAGAGAAUGUCCUAGGGCAAGAGGGAAGAAAGAGUCGAGGCUAUAAACAAUCAAAUUUGAGCCUAUCUCAAACAUUUCACUAGAAGAUGUUGCUAUGAUGUUCAAAUAUCUUCAAAUUGAUCAUCUCGACAUCAACAUGCACGGACAUGAGAAAAAUUGGAUUUCGAGUUUUUGCAAAUGGUGUAUUUUGUGAUGUAUUUUUUGACCGUCAAUUUUGAAUAUUUUCAAGUUUUCAUAGAUCUGAUGAUCUCUACUAUUUAUGAAGCUUUAAACUUAUAAAUAAAUAUAAAAAUAUAUUUUAAGGCUAUUACAAAAGAUUUUUGGUGGUGAAACUGUAUUUCUCGAUACUAUUUGAAGGUAAGCGCCAAUUUGAUUAUUUAGAGCCUAUUAUCUAUACAAACCGUACCUAUACAUAUUUUGUUAGGGUGCAGUUGGCAUAUAUGGAUGCAUCGAUAGCUGUAGAGGUAGGUAAGGUGCACUUUUAAAUUUUAUCAUGGUCUAUAAUUUUGCUAUAAAAUGAUCGUAGGAUUAUAUUAAAAUAUAUUUUUAUAUCUAAUUAUAAAAUUUUAAAUUUAAAAAAUGGUCAAAAUCAAGUAGAUAUAUAAACAUAUGAAUAUAUUGAAAAUAGAUGCUGUAAAUAAUAUGUUGUAAAAUGUACUAUUUUUUAGACUUAAAAUCUUUUUAUUUUAUGGUCAUAUAUCAUCUCGUUGUCGAGAUGAUCAAUCGAAUGGUUUUUCAACAUUAAAACUAUUUUUUUGGAUAGAUUUUUGAAGUGCAUCCGUAAUUCUAUAUUAUAAGAUCCUUUUCUUAUAUAAGCUUUUUCCAUUUAGUUAAGUCGUCUAUAGCUAAAGCAGAAAGAUAUGUUCAGUCCAUAACCACGGGUGGCAAAGUAUUAUUUCAGGCAAAGGCAAUCAAGGUGGCGGGUACCACAACGAGAGGUUCAUUCUCACGAGUCGAACGUUAAUAUGGGAAAACACUUACGAGUACUCGCACUCAUGAUUGCAUUUUUUUACAGUAUUGUCCAUAUGGUUUAUUACCAUUCAAAGUCCAUGUUUGAAUUUUAAUAUUUUUUUAUAAAUUAGAUUCAAUUGAAAUUUGUAGUAGUGUAUAUGUAAGCUAAAUAAAGUAUAAAAAAUGAAUCUCAAAAAAUAAAAUGAUGAAAAUGCCCUUAUAAUUUUCAUAAGUCUAAUUUGCUUAUAUUUAUUAUUUAUAUUAUUUUAUUUGAGUGUGAACUUUUGAGGCAUACACAUCCACAAAAUUUUAGGUUAAUUUGAUUUAUAAAAAAUUAUUAAAUUCAAACAUUAUUAAGUUAAUUUGAUUUAUAAAAAAUUAUUAAAUUCAAACAUUAUUAGACAAUCACAAUUAUUAAAUUCAAACAUUAUUAGACAAUCACAUGUUGAAAAUAGGGAAGAGGUGCUUGUCUAAAAUCCGAGGUAUUGAUGGCAAUGUUGUUGGACUGUUGAUCUUAGAGAGGUUGGGUAAAUGAUUGAGAAUAUUUUAUUUCUCUUUAUCUCUCAAUGGCUAUGAAACUUUAAUUUAUAAAGGGAUGAGAGGAGGUUGUUUUUUUUCUUUUCUACAAUAUUUGAAAAGUGGUCAUCAAUACAUGAGAGAUGAUGAUUUAUCCACUAUCCAUUGGAAAAAAGGAUUUUUUCUCUCUAAAAAACUUUUAAAAUAAACAUUAAUUAAUGUAUAAUAUUUUUAGAAAAAGAUAUUAACUAAAUAACAAAAGAAAUAUGUAGCGUAUGUGAGGCACCAUGGCCACAUGCAUGUACCAACAUUGUGGGUGUUUGAAAAACUUUAGAUGGUGACGAUCCAUGAACGAAAUUAUGUAGAGAUUGACUAAUGAGUGUUUUNNNNNNNNNNNNNNNNNNNNNNNNNNNNNNNNNNNNNNNNNNNNNNNNNNNNNNNNNNNNNNNNNNNNNNNNNNNNNNNNNNNNNNNNNNNNNNNNNNNNNNNNNNNNNNNNNNNNNNNNNNNNNNNNNNNNNNNNNNNNNNNNNNNNNNNNNNNNNNNNNNNNNNNNNNNNNNNNNNNNNNNNNNNNNNNNNNNNNNNNNNNNNNNNNNNNNNNNNNNNNNNNNNNNNNNNNNNNNNNNNNNNNNNNNNNNNNNNNNNNNNNNNNNNNNNNNNNNNNNNNNNNNNNNNNNNNNNNNNNNNNNNNNNNNNNNNNNNNNNNNNNNNNNNNNNNNNNNNNNNNNNNNNNNNNNNNNNNNNNNNNNNNNNNNNNNNNNNNNNNNNNNNNNNNNNNNNNNNNNNNNNNNNNNNNNNNNNNNNNNNNNNNNNNNNNNNNNNNNNNNNNNNNNNNNNNNNNNNNNNNNNNNNNNNNNNNNNNNNNNNNNNNNNNNNNNNNNNNNNNNNNNNNNNNNNNNNNNNNNNNNNNNNNNNNNNNNNNNNNNNNNNNNNNNNNNNNNNNNNNNNNNNNNNNNNNNNNNNNNNNNNNNNNNNNNNNNNNNNNNNNNNNNNNNNNNNNNNNNNNNNNNNNNNNNNNNNNNNNNNNNNNNNNNNNNNNNNNNNNNNNNNNNNNNNNNNNNNNNNNNNNNNNNNNNNNNNNNNNNNNNNNNNNNNNNNNNNNNNNNNNNNNNNNNNNNNNNNNNNNNNNNNNNNNNNNNNNNNNNNNNNNNNNNNNNNNNNNNNNNNNNNNNNNNNNNNNNNNNNNNNNNNNNNNNNNNNNNNNNNNNNNNNNNNNNNNNNNNNNNNNNNNNNNNNNNNNNAGUUUUACAUAGAUGUCUAUCUGAUUCAUCGUUUUUUUUUUCUCAUUAGUUUGGUAUUCCAAGUUUCAAACUAUGUUGAAGUCAAUUUUUGCAAAGAUAUAAUGUGGUAUUGAGAAUACCGAACAUAUUCGUGCCCUUAAUGAAGUUUGGUACUCUUAAGUACCGAACAUAAGAGAGAGACAAUAGCUCAGUAGUGAGAGUACCGAGUGUAACGUUUUCAAGAAUAAAUUUGUCUAAUAUUAGUCAUUACUUUCUAAUAUAGUAUUAAUAAUCCAUUUAUUGUUUUCGUUUGUAGCCACAACCCUCAAGGAAGAACAUAGGGUAGGUAGGAUGAAAAUGCCCUUGUGGUCAAGAGUACCUUGUAGCGUCAUUUUUAAACAAGAUUUUUGUUGGGGGCGAGGCCAAUCUUGCGUAUGGAGGCCCAAGCUAACUUUUGUUUUACAUUAAAAACCGGUCCGACACAUGAAAUAUUAGGCAGGAUUUAGUUUAAUACUAUAAGCCGGUUUAACAUAACCGGCUUUUCAUUUUUUGCGAUUGAAGUCAUUCCUAUACUCACAAGUGCAUGACAUGCGUACAUGGAAUGGCCUUGCCGUUUAUACAAAAUUUAAAAAUGAGGCCAGUCCGGCAUUUCAAGCAUCAGACCGAUUACAUCAUCUAAAACCCAUUUAAAAUCCGAAGUGCCUGACCAGACUCGCUUUUAAUAAAACCCUUGCUUAAAAACAAGGCUACAAGGCAUGACUAGAGGGAUAUUUUCAUCAUCAGAUACUCAUCGUCCUUACUUGAGGAAGUAUGGGCAAAAGAAAAAAGUAAAUAUAUUAAAGUCUGAUACAAGGGGGUGUACGUAAUUUCCUCUGAAUUUGUUUAGUAUUCAACUUUAUUAAAGGCAAAGAAUAUGUUCACAAUCUCAGUACUGAACAAUAUUUUUUAUCAAACCACGUUCUAGGAGUACUGAACUAACAUUGCAAGUUUAAGCACUCUAUUUCUUACACCUCUCUCAUUAUGCUGACGUGGAUCGUGCGGUUAAGAACUAGUCGGUCUACUAAUCUCACUCGCUCUCUCAAAUCAUGAUUAUCAAGAGGGAUUGCAUAUUAUGAGACCAUUUAUCUUUGUUACAAGAAGGUCAUAAUUACUCUUAACUAUUAGAGGUAAAAUUAGAUGGUUUAGAGUGUGUCACGAUAUUGAUAAUUUUUUUUUGAACUUUGAGUGUAAUUAAUGACACUUUUAUAGCCAUCUGAUUUGAAAUGUAGUUGACAAAAGUGUUUGUGAGCUCUUUGUACCAAAAGUAAAUAGUUUUUUUAUAUAUAUUUUUCCUUAUCAUGCUCCCAUAUCUAUAUGAGUCAACCGACUCAUAUGUGGCUCCCCUAUUAAACUAUUUUAAAAAUAGAGUUUAAUCUAAAAUUUAGGUUAAGAUGAUCAUAAAAAUGAAUUUUUUUUGAUAUUAAAAUAUAAUUACAAUAUUCAGCAUAUAAAAC